rnacentral:lncRNA from 1 species
CACAACAAAAAACCCCAUUUACAGACACAGGGAGUCGGGGUAGGAAUGAGAAAACUAAAUCCACAAAAAGACAAGGAAAACGUGAAGAAGAAAUCUAACUGUCAAAGUAGAAAUAACGAAAUGAAAGCUUAACAACGGCAGCCAAUUGCAGAUUCUGGUGCUCCAUUAAGCUCCCCCCUAAACCAAGUCCUUGCUCCAAUUGCAGAAUCUGUGAGGCAUAACCUUUUUGGAGAGAAGAUUCUUAUCCUCAUGUAUAUAUACCACAAACCGCAGGAAAAUAGAAAACGAAUUAUGAUAGAGGAAGAGACAAAUCAACAAUUAAAGUGCCAAACCAGUCCAGAAUUCUUAUAUGCUUCAUACUCUCAUGAGACAGAACCACAAAAACUCAGACACUUGCAAGAAACCAUCAGAGGACCUGCUAUCCCAAAUCCCAAUAUAAAAACACGGCUAGAAAAUUACCAGUUUUAUCUCAAGGCUGAACAGAACCUUGCUUCGUGCACAUUUAUAGGAUUUUCCUCUAACACUCACAGAAAACUCAAAAAGUAGAUGCUGAUUAUCAAACUAUAGGGAGUAUAUGAAACAGCCUGCAGAGGACGUUGAAUCAGGGUGUGCAAAAAUAAACCUGUACACUUUAAUAAUACACAGACUGGUUAUUUUAAGAUAUAUUAUGCUCCAGAAAACAGGUUUUAAUUCACAAUCCACCAGAAAUGAAUAUCAUGUAUGGAGCUCUGCAAAACAUCACCGUUUUAUGAAACUCAACUGGCAACAUCCAAAACAGAAAAUUCAUAGCAGAACUCCAGUCAUCUUUCCAAGUUCAGCAAAACAUUACUAUUUCCUAUUACUCAAAUAGCAAUACCAUAAAUGCAAAACAACAUCUGUCUACCAAGAAUAAUGUUAGUUGUAACAGGAAUUCAAGAACAAUCAAAAUUGGACUGCAAAAGUUAAAGAUAACGAAUAAUUAAUCACAAAGAAUAAGAAUACUUCACAUGAGGAUCAAACAAGAGAAUGUCACAGAUUAUUGCUCCUGCAACACCAGAGAGCAACGAAUCAAGAAAUAUUCAUACUCUCAGCAACACCAAAAAGUAACCAAUCAAGAAAUAUUCAUACUCUUAGCAGUGAAAGAAAUAUCAUAAAAAAACAGAUUAUGAUAAUAUCACCAUAUAAAAACCCUAUGAUGCGAAGAAAGUUAUUAGAUUUGACAGACCGUGCUGCAGAAAAACAUGUUCAAAAUUCAAUUUGUUCAUAGCCCAGAAAUCAAGUUAAUAAAGGACUCAUUAUCAUUUAUCUUUCAAACACCGUUCCCCCGUUCCUGUCCGUUGAAUCAAGUGUUAUAGAUAUCAAGACUUCCCUGCUCGCAGUACAACGGAUAAACGGAUCUUCUUCUUUUUUUUUUUUUUUUUUUUGAAGUGAAACAUACUUUCAAAAAAACAAAGCUGGAACACAGCCAUCAAACCCACAAUGAUUAUUUCGAUUAUCAACGGAUCUUCAAUUAUCAAAUGAAGAGUUAAAUUGAAAAAUAACACAAAGAUUGAAUAGAUGAAUUUUCUAGAGAUCACCGGGAAAAUACUCAAGGCUCCAUACUACGAAGGAGGUUAUUAUUUAGACAAACCAGGAUGCAGAAAAAGCAUGUUCGCAGUUCAUUUAUUUCGACAAACCACGCUGCAGAAAAGCAUUUUCAAAAUCAAUUUGUAUGUCUUGUAAUCAAAGUCAGAUUAUAAACAAUAAAAAUGGCUCAUUGAAGAAAUUUGAUUUAUCUUGAACCAUUCCCCGUACUUAUAUCUUUGAACCAAGAAUAUGUUGACCUCAGCUGCAAAAUCAAUAAAGAUUUAAACAAAAAGGAUUCACUAUCUUUCAUAUUUAUGAACCAAGGAGAAAAGGUUCUAUGCUAUGUAGGAGGUUAAUUUUUGACAAAACCAAGCUGAAAAAGGAAGUCAUUGAUGUCUUGCAUUAAAAUUAAUAAACAAUAAUCACCAAAAUCAAAACCUCAUAAACAUGAAANAAACAAUGAUCACCAAAAUCAAAACCUCAUAAACAUGAAACCAGAAAGGAAAAAGAAUACAAAACAUGAAGAUCAAAUAAGAGCAAGAAAGAAAGAACCAGAAGAAAUCGUGUUUUCAUAGAUAUUUCUCCUGAAACACCAAAAAGAUCACCAAAUCAAAAAAUCAACUGAAACUGAUUUAAUAAUACAUAAAAAACAAUGAAGAAAUUUUGAAAACAAAAAUAAUUUAACAGACAUCACCAAAUCAAAUCCAUGCUUAGUUUGCAAACUACCCACCACGCUGCAGAAUAAUUAAGAAUAUGUUCAAUAUUCAAAUUGUAUGCUUUCCAAUCAAAUUAAAAUAAUUAAUUAUCAACUAAAGAAAUUUGAUUUAUCUAACUGGAGCCUUUCUUGUACCUUGUAUCAAGAGGUUUCACUGCAAAACCGAUAAAUGAUCUCUCGAUUAUCAAAAUGAAUAAUUAAUUAUAUAAAAAAUUUAAGAAUUUUAAGAAAUUUUUAUGUAAAAGAAGAGUCGAGAGAAGUGUGAUUGUGUGAAAAUGUUGGAAAGUAUAUCUUAACAAUCACUGAAAUUAAGUAAUCACAGAUCAAAGAAACAAGAAAGUAAAACACCAAAUCAAGCAUUCUCUGAAUUGACAUAGAAAGAUAGAACCAAAAAGAUUUACUAGAUAUCACCAAAUCAAAUCUAGAGGCUCCAUGCUAUGAAUAAAGAACAUUUUUAAUACUCUGACAAACCACGCUGCAGAAAUGGAUAAAGGACUCAUUGAAGAAAAAUAAUUAUCUAUCAAGAGCAGUACAACGGAUAAAUGGAUCUUCGAUUAUCAAAGAAGAGUUAUAUCGAAAAAUAAUACUCAUUAACUAAUCGUAAAAGAAGAUUCAAGAAAAGUACGAGAGUGUGAAAUAUAUCCUCUCAGAAGCAUUGAACGGAAAAUUUACUAGAUAGAGAUCACCAGAAAAUUCUCAAGCCUCCAUACUCAGGAGGUUAAUAAUUAGACAAACCAAGCUGCAGAAAAAGCAAGAUCACGGUUCAAUUCUUCUCAUAAUCUAAAACUUGAAAUUAAAAACAAUAAAGAAUGAAUCAUUGAAGAAAUUCGAUUUAUCUAUUUGAAGCCAAUCUCCAUUCAUAUCCGUUGUGUAAAGAAUCACAAAAUGUUUAUAGUUUUUCCGGAUUCCGCCACCUGCUGCAAAUUAAACAUAUAUCUCCAUUAUCUACUUAUGAUAGAAGAAGAUCAAAAGACCCAAGCGAAAAGAUAAACUGCAGACUCCUGAUACAACAUUAUAAAAACUGCAACACUAUCCCAUCACACCAUCAGAGCACAACUAUCCCAUCACACCAUCAGAGCACAACUAUCCCAUCCCAACACAAAAUGAAACCAGUUUUAUUACCAAGGUUGAGUGAAAAGUAGGAUGUAUGACCAGCUUUAUUCCAAGUCUGAACGGAAGUAAUAAACCUAAAUGACAGAUUACAUCAAAGCAGUCACAAUUUCUCCAGAAUUGUGUAAACUAUCACGGUCAGAAUACAUCAAAAACCUGAAUGUAAGGAAAUCAGAGUAAGGCUGAACUUCUAAGAUAUAAACAAGAGGAAGAUCGAUAGAACCAGAAUAUGUUUAAAAAAGAUCACACUUCUCCUGCGACACGGAAGAAUAAACAACAAAUAAAGAUAUAUAUAUGUUGAUAAAAGAAAUUUUUAAAAUGAAAAGAAUUAAAUAGUUAUCACCAAAUCAAAAUGCUAGGUUCCAUGCCACGAAGCAGGUUAUUAGUGUGACAAACCAUGCUGCAGGAAAACAUGUUCAAAAUUCAAUUCGUAUGUCUUGCAAUUGAAGCCCAGAAAUUAAAAUAAUAAACAAUGGCUCAAUGAAGAAAUUUGAUUUUUAUCUAUCGGGGCUGUUGUUCUUUUCCGGUGUAUGAAACGUUCUAGAUAAUGAAGAUUUCACAGACUGCAAAAGAUGGAUAAAUGCAUGUCACAGAGCAAACAAUAUGGCCACCUAGUUAAAAAAUCAAGUAACAAAAGAAGGUAUGAACAAGAAUAAACAAACAAACCUCAUAAUCAAGAAAUCAAAAGCAUAUCUUCUCAUGUAACACCAUCAAGAAAUCAAAAUCAUAUCCUCUUAAUACCAGGAAGUAAAUUAACAAUUUAACAUUCAAGAAACAUUUGUUCUUAGAAUCAACAAUGUAAGAUUGAAACAAAAAGGAUUUACUAGAUAUCACCAAAUCAAAACUUCAGGCUCUAUGCUGUGAAGGAUAUUAUUAUUUUGACAAACCAAACUGCAGUCUAAACCAACAAAAACAAAUAAUCAACCAGACAAAUCAUGAAACCGAAAGAAUCAAUCAAAAAUGAAUAAAGAAUGCAAAACAUGAAGACCAAACAAGAGGAAGAUACAUAUCACUAGAAGAAGUCGUAUGUUACAAAAUUACUUUUCCUGCAAGACCAAAGAGGGUAAAAACAGGUCAAGAAAUACAUGAUCUCAGAGAAUAAAGAAUUUUAAAAAAUGAAAAGAAUUUAUUACAGAUCACCAAAUCAAAACGCUAGGCUCCAUGCAUCAAGCAGGUAAUAGUUUAACAAACCACGCUGCAAGAAAACAUGUUGAAAAUUCAAUUUGCAUGUCUUGCAGUAAAAACCCAGAAAUUAAAGUAAUAAAGAACAAAUCAUUGAAUAAAUUGAUUUAUCUAUCUGGAGCCAUUCCGUAUGUUGUAUCAAGCCGUUCUAGUUAAUAAGACUUCUCAGCUUGCUGCAAAAUGGCCAAAUGUAUGUCGAUUAUCUAAUGAAGUUCAUGAUUCAAUUUUUAUGUAUAGCAUUAAAAUCAAUAAAGAACAAACACCAAGAUUGAAACUUCACAAACAUGAACCAGAAAUAAGAACACAAAAUUAUUGGAAGAAAGAUAGAACCAGAGUAAAGCGUGUUUAUUUCUCCUGAAAAACCAAAGAGAUUACCGAAUCAUAAAAAUAUUAUCUGAUUUAAUAGUAUACAUUAAAAAUAAUGAAGAAAUUUUGAAAAGAAAACUGAUUUAACAGACAUCACCAAAUCAGAUCCACGCUUAGUUUGACAAACCACCACGCUGCAGAAUAAAUUAAGAACAUGUUUAAAAUUCAAUUUGUAUGCCUUCCAAUCAAAUCAAAAUUAUUAAGAACUUAUUAAAGAAAUUUGAUUUAUCUAGCUGGAGCCGUUCUUGUCCCUUGUAUCAACUUAUCUAGAGGUUUCACUGCAAAACCGAUAAAUGAUCUCUCGAUAAGAAAUACUUUUAUAAAAAAUUUAAGAAAAUAAUAGUUAUCAAAUAAUUUAAAAUGAUUUUUUAUAUAAAUUUUUUUAAAAACUUUAAUGUAAAAGAAGAGUCAAGAGAAGUGUGAUUGUGUGAAGUUCUUGAUUCUUGACUGUUGUCUGUUAUAUCCCAACGAUCUCGUUUACAACAAACCCUGGAAUAAAGCAAUCACAGAGCAAAGAAUCAAGAAAGUGGAACACCAAAUCAAUCAUAAUUGCAUUCUCCAAAUUGACAAAGAAAGAUAGAACCAAAAACCCUUGCUAUGAAUAAAGAACGAAUCAUGGAUGAAAUUUAAUUUAUUCUUCUCUGUUCUUAUCCGUUGAAUCAACAAUUGCUGCAAAAAAACCAAUGAACACGUAUCUAGAUGAUCCAAAUAUGAAGAACUAUAUCCAAUAAUCAAAUAAUUAAUCAAAUUAAUCUUGAUAACCGAUAAUCCAUUGAGCGAGCGAUUUCUGUGUUCGCCGUUCGCAUAUGAAUAGCUAGCAAAACGAUCCAGAUUCCAAUCUUAAGAUCGCUGCAAACCGAUAAACACAUAUCCAUGUUAUUCAAUUAUGAACAACUAUAUCCAAUAAUCAAAUAAUUAAUCAAAUAUUCUUAAUAACCGAUGAUCCAUAAACUAGCGAUAGAUCGAGCGAUUUUGACGUUCUUCGUUCUCAUAUGAAUAGCAAAACCGAUGAUCCAGAUUCCAAACUUACAAUCGCUGCAAAACUGAUAAACACAUAUAUCGAUUAUUCAAUUAUGAAGAAUCAUAUCCAAUAAUCCAAAAACUAUACAACAAAUAAUUCUCGAUAAACGAUGAUCCAUCAAAACAAGUGUGAAAUUCUUCAUAUCUUAAAUCCGAAAAACGCAAAUCCAUAUCGAUCGAUCGAUCAACACGCAAAACUUUAUAAUCGAGAAAUCAAAAUCAUGAAUCAAAAGUAGAAUCGAGAAAUCAAAAUCAUGAAUCAAAAGUUGAACAGAAAAGAAGAAGAAAGGAGAAAGAGAGAACAAACGAGAGGAACGUAGAACGCGCUAUUUCGAGGCACUUUGGAAAGAGGGAACUUAUGAGGCUUAUAUAGAGGGUGGGGUCAAGUUUGACGGCUACGAUAACGCGUGUGGUGGAAACUUGGACGGUUAUGAUUGAACUAAAAUAAAACGGUUAACGCGUUUCCUUUCUAAAUAAGGCGGUGUGAAACACGCUUGAUGAUAAGAUUUAGUAGGGAGUCGUUGUUGGUUUGCGUGUACCGACUUAAAACUAAAGCUAUCUCUCUAAGAUAUAUAAAACGAUAAAAACUCCAAAAAUAAACAUUAUCCUUGGGUUAAAUUUAUUUUUACCUCCAUUAAAUAUAACAACUUCUAUUUUUAAUUCUUCACAAAAAAUAUUCCAAAUUCCAUUUUAUUUUUUAUUUUUUUGAUAGUAGUAUAAUAAUAACUAUAAAUUUAGGGGAAAUUUGUUCCCCUUCCCUGAGGUUGGGGAGAAACAACACUAAAACCCUUUUAGUUUUCAACUGAAUGCAAAACUCUCGUAAAUUUUAUUAAAAGUGACAAAUAUCUUCUUUACCAUUAACAUUGUUAGUUGUCUGUUACUUCCACUUUCAUUCAGCUUCAACAUCCAUUCUCUCUCUCUCUCUCUCUCUCUCUCUCUCUCUCUCUCUCUCUCUCUCUCUCGUGAGCUCUUGAUGUUGCUUCAUUUCUUGCUUGAAAACUUCAUUGCUUUUAAGUAAAUUUUCUUCUCUGAUUCUUGCUUCCUCUAGCUUAGCUUCUGCAGAUGACUUGUAUUCCAGUAGUAGUAGCUUCUAUUCAAGAACUUCUUUUCUAAGCUGCUUGUUUUCCUUUUCCAAUGCAACAUUCCUUUGCAAUAAAUCCAGUUCAGUAGAGGCUGACUUGAAAUUAAUCUUAUUCAGCCAAGUUAAGUCCAAUUCCUUGGGAUGCACACCAAUAGGAAUAAAAUCAGUAGCAUUCCUCUCUCUUAAGCAUAAAGGAUUUUGCACCCAAGUUCUUAGAACUUUAACUGCUUGCAAAUUCUUAUAAACUCCUUUCAGCCAAUCUUGAAGCUUGUUUUGAGCAUAGUCUUGAGCAUCAAGACAUGUUCUCUGAAGCUCACUCAAGACAAAGUCUACUCUCUCUUUCAGUCUCUUCCAUUCCUUCUCAUAACUGUCCUUAUGCACCAGAUUAGUCUUUGCUAGAACCAAGUUGUUCAACUCUUGAAAUAUGUUCUCACACACAUCUGCUAAAAUAGAAGAAUCUAGAAACAGGGUGGAUGGAGAAGGGACAUUUGUUUUGGCAGGAGCACAAGGUUGAAUAGCUUGGUUGGAAGAUGAAGGUUGGUCAUUUGUGGAGUUAUUGGUUGGAAUAUUGAUCUCAGAAGUUUGACUAGAAAUAGAAGUUAUGACCACAGAAGAUGAGUUAAAUACAUCAACUUCAUCAUCAAAACCUUCUGAUGUGAUCAUAAAAUCAGGUUCAUUGAAAUUUUCAGGAAUAGAAAGAGACUCAAUAUAAUCAGAGACAUUUUGUUCAGGAACAGUUUGUUCAAGAACAGAGACAUCUGGUAAGGUAGUUGAGGCCAUUUGUACACUUGGUGCAUGUUGUUGGGGGCUUUCUAAAGCAAAUUCAUCAGAAGCUACCUCAUAGGCUUUUUCUAGGUUUGACCCACACCUGGUAAUUCACCAGAACAGUGAUUGACCAGAUUCUCUAAGACAGAUGUUUCUGAUGUUUGGUUUGUUGAAGAGGGAUGAGAUGAAGAUUCAAUUAUGUUGACAUGCUUAGGCACUUCUGAUUCAUUAACCACAUCUGCAUCAGCACGAACAAAACUCAAAGGUUUGAUCAUUGGUGGUUGGAAAGGGUGAUCAGCAUGCAGUCUUUCACAGACUUUGUUUCUCAUCUCAAACAUUUCUCCUAUCUUAUUGAGAAUAAAAGGAUAAACAGGAUCAUAGGGAAUCUUGUCAGCAGGCUCUUUGUGAAUUUUGGUGGUUGGUGAAGGGCCUUUGUUGAUAGUUGUGUAGAUUCUGCCUAGAGGGACAUUAUCAAGGUCUGAGGAAGUUGAGGAGGUUGAAAUUGAUGUUGAAUGAGAGGUUGAGGUUGUACUAGAUUUUAUAUUUAUGAUUUCAGUAGAGUGUAGAGAAUCAGGAUUACCUUUUGAAGCUUCUGGGAAAACAGCUUCUGAACAACCAGCAUUCUCCUCCUAAACACCUUCAGCAGAUGCCAUCAACAAACUUCCAGCUUCAAAUGCCACAAGUUCUUGCACAACUACAGCAGCUUUGAUAACUUCCUGAGCAUCUGCACCAACAUCUUCUCUUACAAUGUUGGAUGCAUGGACUUCAAUCUCCUGUGCUAACUCCAACACCUUCUGAAGUGUAGCAGCUGCAAUGUUAUCUUCCUCUUCCAUCACAUGAUCUGCUACCUUCAGUUUCCUGAUAGCUUGCCUUCUCUUCUUCUUUGGAAUUGAAGGUUGGUCAGGAGCAGAUUGGGAAGAAGUUGCAGCAGGUUGACCACUUCUAGUUCUCUUGGUUUAUCAGCCUCCAGAUCUUCAACGUCUUCUUGGAUAGUUGGUAUAGUAGGACCAACUAUGUCUUCCUGAACUAUAGCUCUUUCCUUCUUAGCUCUCUUGGCUUUCUUUGCAGUCUGUUCAGGAGCAUCAUCCAAAUACUCUUCUUUGGUGAGUGCUUUCCUCUUGGUCUUUCUGCUCUUUGCUACUGGUAGGGGACCACCAUACAUGGUUCCAGGAACAUCUUCAAGCCUUAUCUUCUUACCAGUCACAGCAAAGUGAUCUUUGAUAAAGUUCAUCUGAACAUCAAGAGAAUCUUGUUUGCAGAUAGGAGGAAAGUCUUCCAUCAUAAUGGACAUUGCAUCAAAUUCCUUCAAAUCUGUGCUCAGCUUUUUAUAAGGAUCCUUUGCAAUCAAGCUCAUGUUCCUGAGUGUCUUCCCAUUGAUGACCUUGCCUGUUUCUGUAUUAAGUUGCUCAUCAAUGAAGAAGUUGAUAUCCUUCAGAGCUUUCAGAAUCCCUCCUUGAUGAAGAAUCUCUAAAAUAAGCCUUCCAUAGGGAACCCAGCAUCUUUUGUUUUCUUGGCUUUCCCUGAGCUCUUUAAUCAUAUGCUUGAAGAUGUAUCUGGGCACAUUUGCUUUUUCCUUCGUUAUGAAGAAAUGAGGGAAAAUUCUAUGCUCCAAAGAGGGUUGAUCACUACCACCACCUUUUGGUAGAAGAUUUUCAUUCUGAAUCUUCAGAAUCAUCUUCUUCUCCAUGCUCAAAUCACUGUAAGCACCUUUCUUUGUGUUGUUGAACAUGGACUUGUGGACUACUUCAUUCCAAGGGCUAGUCUUGUUGUUACCUACACCACCUUUGAAACUUACUUUAGAAGCUCUAAUGAUAACAAAGGCAAUAGCAUCUUCAGAGAUGAAAACAGGGACGCCCAUGAUGCUUGACCUGAUUUCUGUCCAUGUAAAUGGUUCCAAACCCAUUUCUUCUUGUGAUUUUCCUUCCAGGGUAGGAUCAAUCAAAACUUUCUCUAUUUCUUCCAGCAGAGCAGCCUUCAUAUCGUAAACAUGCGCUCUGACCCAGAAGUGCCUGACAAGGGUCUUGUAUGUUGGGCCAUUCUACAUUUUGAAGUAUUCCAUAAGACCUUGAGCUUCGUAGUUGCCUCUGAUGUCACACCCAUGGUAUGCUAAUGAAAUAAAAUCCACCGGAUUCUCAAUUUGAAUCUUAAGAUGCCAUUCUUCUAAGGACAUGGUCCUCCCUUUGAUUUCAUACGCAGGUGCUUCUUGCAUGCUUGUUGACGUUUCAAGAACUGAACUUGAUGACGCCAUUGAUGAGUAUGAAGAUUUAGGGUUCUAGGGAUUUGAAUGAGGAAGAAUGCGUUUUACUUCGCAAAGAAUCAGUGAGAAAUAGAAAAUGUAGGUUGUGAAGUGAGUAGUGUGUGAUUUGUCUAAUUGUUUUGAGUAAAAACGUUUGCAAUUCAGAAAAGGGACAAACAAACACAUCAUUAAUGACAUAGGGGGCGCGAGAUAGUACAUUCAAAGCUAAAAAUCAUCAUUGCCCUCUUAAGUCAUACACCAAUACAAAUAAGCCACGUCAGAAGUUUUUCAAAGUAACUUCUAAGUUAGUGGGACAGGUGUUACUAAAAAGUAACUUCCAACAUUUCCACUAAUACUACUUGUUCAGGAGCAAAGAAUUCAGCUACUGAAGUUAAAGUGCUGACGUCAUCUUCAGAAGCACAUUUUCCUCAGAAUCUCAGUUAAGAGCUUCUGAUGGACCAUAGCUUCUGAACAGACUUCAGGACCAAACUUCUAGUUCAUGAGCAAGCAAAUUUAAUCAGACACAAAGUGCAUGUUCAAGGUUUUCUUAAUAAAAUCAAAUCUUUCCACAGAUAAAGGCUUAGUAAAUAUACCAGUCCAUUGAUGUUCAGUAUCCAUGAAUUAUAUUGUAUAUCUAAGAUUCCUUUUUGAACAUAGUCUCUAAUAAAGUGGUGUUUGAUAUCAAUAUGCUUGGCUAUUGAAUGUAGAAUAGGAUUCUUUGACAAACAAAUAGCAGCAGUAUUAUCACAAUAAAUGGGAAUACUGUUAGCAUUUAUCUGAUAGUCUUCCAACUGAUGUUUCAUCCAAAGCAGUUGUGUACAACAACUUGCAGCUAAGAUGUAUUCUGUAAUGCCCUAUUUCUAUUAAAGCGAUAAAACACACGAAUAAAAUAAAUAUUCAAGAAAUAGACACUACGUCUUCAACAAAAACCAAACAUGCAUGCAUAUAAAAAUCCUCAACAGUCGCAGCGGAUAUAAAUCAUACAUCUCCAAAGUAUACAUGCCAUGAGAUCAAAAUACAUCAUCAUAUAAAUUCUCCAAAUCCCGACAAAUGGGCAAAUCUCCACAACAUAAAUAAAUCCAGAAUAAUCAAUCUAGAAUAAUCAUAAAGACAGACAUCCUAGAUCAGAGCCUACCCUAAGACUCAAAGGAAACGAUAACGGAGAUAGCUCCCGCUAUCCAAGCAAUCAUCAAGAAACUCACCAAAAGCAAACUAGUCAUGUACUUUGUCUACUCAUCCAUACAGACAGGUAGGCGGUCCAUCACAGAUCCACUGGAGGUAAGCUUCACAUCAAUCAUAAUCAACAUAAAUAAACAUAGGCAUUCAAGGAUUCAUGCAUAACACAUAUACAUAAUCACCCCUCCUAGAAUACUAGCAUCAUAUGAUUAUUAUCCCCCAUCACAUACAUUCCAAGCUAUCAAAAUACUAACAUAGCAUAGCAACAUAUUCAAUCACUAAUCAAGUCAUCGACAUAAUCUCAUCAUUCAUCAACAACAAUCAAGAAAGGAUUAAUCACAUUAUUCUUCAUUUAGCAUACUAAGCUCAACAAUACAUUUCAUCAUUUCAAAGUUAUAAGCAAGUAAUCAUCAUUAUCAAAGGAAUCAUCACAUCAUAUAUAUGCACAUAUACAAUUCUCACCUCAUCACUGUCACCAAAAUAAUUAUCAUCAAAUACAUUCACCAAGUGUAUAAGCACGAGCAAGUAAGAUAUGCAAUUAAAGCAUAAUUCAAUUAUUCACAACCGUCAACAAAAUCCAUCAAUGUACAUAUACACCAAUUCACAUAUUCAUAACAUUCACCGAAUUCCACCAAUGCACAAAUUCAUCAAGUCACAUAUUCAAUUAUGACACGCCUCAUCAAUUACUAUAAUGCAUGCAAUGUUCUAGACUCUUCUAGAUGCAUGCGGUACCGUCAACAACAACGUCUAGGUCGUCACCCCAGGAUGCCAACUGCACAUCAUAUGUAAGAGUACACCUCCUCUUAUGAACAACUAUGUAAAAGUACACCUCUUUUUACAUUUCUCAUAUGACUAUGAUGCAUGGACAUACAAGCAAAGACUCAAUAAUGCAAAAGCAUACAUUCACCAACAACAAUGUAAAAGUACACCUCCAUUUACAUUGAUCAACUUCAACAACAAUUGCAUUAUCAAUUAUUUACGUCCACACAAUCAAUCAAGUCAUAAUUCAAUUAAGAGUCAUCACCACACCAUCACUUAACAUAUAUGCAUUCACCGAAAAUAUCACACUCAAUUAACAUAUAUAUAUUUUAACGCCCGUUUUGAUUAUUUAAUUAUGUUGUUGAGUUUAGAAUAUAUUUAUAUGAUUUGUGUGAUUUAUGUGAUUUAAUGAGGUGUUGUGACUUAUUUUAUUGUUUAAUAAAAUAAGAUUUGAAAAUAAAAUAAAUAUUGAGUUGAGGGGUUGUUUUGAGAUUUUAGAGAGUUUUGUGGGUAAAAGAGGAAUAAAAUAAAAUAGAUGGGAAGAGAUAUAAAUAGGUGAGGGUUAGGUUUAGAAAAGUUUUUUUAACGUACGAUCAAUUUUGGAGAAAAGGGAUAAAAGUCAAGAGAAGAUAAGAGGACCAAAGAGAGGCUGCGAUUUCGAUUUUCUAAGGUAAGGGUGAGACUAACAUUCAAUCUUAUUAAAUCUGUAAUUCUGAUGGUUGUAUUUAACAAGUGUAGGAUUGUUUUAGAGAAGUUGGAAAUUAGGGUUAAAGUGAGAAAUUGAUGAUUUAUUGAUGUAGAAUUGUAGAAUUGAUGUAGAAAGUGUUUACAGACCUUAGAUAAUCCAUAGGAUGAAAUCUGGAAUCAAUGUUAAGCUUAAAACCAUGCCUUUAGGUGGAUUUUCGUGAAAAUCUGCAUUCUGCCCGAGCCAACAUUCAUCGCUCGCCUCCCGAGUGAUGAUCCUCGCCCUCGCGAGGGAUGAUCUUCAUCGCUCGCCUCGCGAGUAACACCUUGCAACUCGCCAUAGCGAGCAGAUCACUCGCCAUAGCGAGUAUGACCAGUGAGAAACCUGAUUUGUGAGUUAACUCCUUAAGUCGAACUUUAGAUGUUUUUGAGUGCCUGAAUAUGUAUAAUAAUGAUUAGGCAAGUUUUUAGAUUGAGAUUGAACCUACGAAAGUUUAAAAAUGGAUUUUUGGGUGAAAAAUGUCAAAUUCCCGAGAGCACCCAGUUUCUUGUUUGCCAAGGUGAGUCGCUUACUCGCCAAGGCGAAUGCCAUUUUCCUGAACUCGCCAUAGCAAGUAGAGGCUCUCGCCUCGCGAGCCCUUGUGAGACAGAACUCCUUGUUAGGUUAAAUGUGACCUUUAUCGCACGAGUUGAUGUGAGUUGAUCACGGGGGUAAGAAACUAAGUUGCUUAUCUUACUGUUGUUGUUUCAGUGAGCCUGAAUUAUAUGAUUUGAUGUUGUUAAUAAUGUGAUAUAAAUGUAUAUGCAUUACAAGAAUUAUAUAUGAUGUUUGAGAUGUUGUUGAUUUGCAUUUGAUAUUGUUAUAUCAUGAACCGUUUUAUGUACUGCCUAUGUUGUUGUUUGUUUAUUAACUAAGCUGCAUGAGUCGGUCUAAGAUGAAAGAUGUUGUUCCAAAUUAUUGGAUUUAUAUAAGAGGUCGUUUUUUCUAAGAUGUUAAGUUGUUGAGUCCAUGCAUACUCAUUCAUUGUUGGGGGCUUGAUGCCCUGGAGCCUUCGCAGAGUUUUGGCGCUUUCAAAUUGUUGUAUAGUCUUGCCAUUCUUUAAGUCUUCACUCCUUUAUAUAGAGGUGUGAAAGAGACGUUGUGAAUUGCCAACACAUCAAAAUAGAGUCGUUUGAAGCUUUGAUCAAUCACUAAAGAUCUUUUACCUAAUAAGGUUAUUGUCCUAUGAAGGAUCAAUUUCAAAUCCAUUCCCAGUAUGUAGGAACAUUGUUGGAGGCAGAGCUGUUAUCCUUGUCUUGUGGCAGAGACAAAAACUGAGUAGUGGAGAUAGUGGUUGUACAAUUCGUACAAUUGUACUAUGUCAAUGCUCUUCAAAGAACAAGCAUCUAAUGCUUUCAAAUCCUUUCAAAAUAGCUGUUGCUUCACUCCUGCGGUCUUUUGCAAUGCUUGGACGAGAUUGAACCAUUGAACAACCUUUGAAGCUUUAAGUCUUGCAUCUCUUGAUGAACUUCAGCUUCUGGUGAUCUUGCUUCUGAUGAGAUGCUUUUGAUGAACUUGCUUCUAAUAACGUCAUCACUUCAGAAGCACUUUGACUUCAGGCACACUUCUCUUCAGAUGCUUCAAGCUUCCUUUUUGUUGAUUCCUUUGCUCUCUUUUGUUCUUCCAGAACCUAAUAAUGAUAUCAAAAUUUUCUCUAUGGUCAUGUACACUUGAAAAAAUAUUAUUAUAUCUAAUUGACAACUUUUAAUACCUUGUUAUCAUCAAAACUCUCAAAGGGUAAUGUUAAACACAUUUAUUUCCAACAUGGAAUACCACAUCAAAAUCCAAUUUCAUCACUAAAUCCCAAUAUUAAAGCUUCUAAAAUUAAAGCUUAUUAUGAAACUCACCUCAAAUGCAACUUCCAUUUAUACAAGAAGCUUCAAAGCUCUCUGUCUCUUUUAAAGCUACUGCUCAAGCUUCCUUCAAUUCCUUACCUUCAGUUCUUGCUUCUAAACACCAAUAUAAGAUACAACAUGUUGAGGCAAAAUCCCUAAUUAAUUUUAAAGAUAAUAAACCAUUAUGAUUAAAGAAUUAAUGGACUUUGAUUUAUUCAUUGGUAUUUAACUUGUUCUCUUGAGUGUUUUACUAAGACAGGAACAAGGUUUAAAUCAUACUAAGAUUCAAGAAAUCAAAGGACAUUGGAAUUCAUGAUCUAACACUGAUGUCAGAAAGUUAGAUCAGAAUGUUGCUCAGAGAUCAGAAUGUUCAAGCAGAGAUCAGAAAAUUGUUCUUAUACAAGUCAAGAAUCUCAAGAACAUUGAUCAAGAUCAUGCAAGGCACAUGUGAUAUGGAUAAAUUUCCAGGAAGGUACAUUUGCAUGGAUCAAUCAAGCAACAAAGGCAUAUACAAAGAUUAUGUCAAAAAGGAUACUCAAUGUUCAUUUAAGACUAUGAACAUUGAAGUACUGGGAAUAUUCCAAAAGGGAAUAUCAUCCUAGAUGUUGAAGUCACUGCUCUUCAUUGUUGUUUCAUUAUUAGGAUUUGAUUACAUCAAAUGGUAGUCUUACAAAUCAUCCUAAGUGAAACAAAAGGAACAUUCUGAUGGUCAGAAUGUUCAGCUCUGCACAUGCUUACUUUAUGAACAGUACAGUAGGUGAAAAGGCAAAAAGAAAAAACAAAGCAAAUAUGUCCUGUUCAACAACAAAUAGAUACGCAUGAGAGUUGCUACAGUACAUGGACCACACAAUCUCUCAAAGUAUGAGCAUGAAGAUGCAGAAUCCACUUUAUCUCUCCUGCGCCAGUCCCAAGGCAAAUCUGGGAAAAUAACUUUCUGAUGUAUGUGGAAAAGCCCAUACUUUGAUUACUGCCCAGGAAUUCAUAUGAAAAGCAUAUGACACGCCCAGAAAUUCAUGUGUUCAUUCACACAUGAUGAACCCAUAUGAAGAUCAUCAAGAACACAACAACAUUCUGAAGUUCAUCCUUGAUCAGAAUGUUCACCAAGAAUUUCAAGUAAAAGCUUUUGGGACCCACACAUGGCAUAACACCAUUGGACACCCUACAACGGCUAUAUGAGCCCAAAGACUCUAUAAAUAGAGAUCAAAGGCUCAACAUUACUUGCACCAUUGCAAAGCAUACAAGAAAACAACUGAAAUUGUUUGAAGCUCUUGCAAUUGAAUUAAUUAUCACUAAAGGCUUUUUUUACCUUCUUUGUAGUGUAAAUCAAUUCUCUUUGUUAUCUUUGUUAAAGAUAACUUCUUCUUCCUCCUCUUAUGUUUGAUUCUCGAACAUGCAAACCUCUUACAAAUUGUAAACAAAGUCUCAUCUAGCUUUAGGGGUACUAAAGUGUUAGUUUGAGCUUAGUUUGUAAAAGUCUAAGUGGUUAACUUAGCAACAAGGUGCAAACCUGCUGAGGAUUAGAGAAUAGUGAGGAGUGGACUAACCCACAUUGGGUGAACCACUAUAAAUCGCUGUGUGUUCUUUCUCUCUUCCCUAGACUCUUUAAUUACACUUGUACACUUACUUUAUUAAACAGUUUUUUGUGUAUGAACAUUAGAACGUUCUGAAGUCAUAAUAUUAACUUAAAUUAUGUUAACUUGUUUUGAAUUUGUAAUAUCCCGCUUCAUUAUGACAGCAACAUCAGUCUAGAAUACCACAUCAAAAUCCAAUUUCAUCACUAAAUGUCAAUAUUACAAAUUCUAAAAUUAAAGCUUAUUAUGAAACUCACCUCAAAUUCAACUUCCAUUGAUGCCAAAAGCUCUCUGUCUCUUUUAAAGCUUCUGCUCAAACUUCCUUCAAUUCCUUCCCAUCAGUUCUUGCUUCUAAACACCAACAUAAGGUAAAACCAUCAUCAAUAGAUUACAUGCAAGCCAAUUAUCAAGCUCAAGAUAAAACUUUCCAAAACAGCAUGUGAAUGAUGAUGGUACAGCUGGGGAAGAAAAGAAAGCAAUUAAGUUUGUUUUAGGGAUGAAAUAGUGUGAAGAUUGUGAUAGUUUCUUUGCAUGUUGGAUUGAUAUAAGAGAUUGAGUGGAAAUUUUUGAUGUUUGGAUGGGAGAAGUAUGGGGGCCGAGCCAAAAAGAGAGGAGGAGGGAGAGAGAGACUCUGUACGUGAGAGAGAAUUGGAAGGAAAAAGAUAAGAAGAAAAAUGUGGUUUAGCUCUUUUAUAAUCUUUUGAUAAAAUUAUUACCACGAUGCCCUCCUCUUAAGAUGUUUUUCAGUCACAGUUAAAAGGACACUGCAUUCUAUCCGGAAUUAAGCGGGAUAUUACGAAUUCAAAAUAAGUUAACAUAAUUCCCAAUGAAUAAUAAGUCAAUUAAUUCAUAUAUACUAUUCAACAAUGAGAUCUAAAACUUAGAUCCAAAUUUUGUUACGAUGUUUCAAUGUUGUGCACAUAGAAGAAAUUCAAUUUGACUUUUCAUUAGAUUUGAUCUAGUGUAGCCUUUGUGUAAACGAGAAAUUUAUCUUUGAUGCCCUUUUAAAACAUUUUUAUUGAAAUGUGAAAUUCAAUCAAAUCGACGAAAUACCAAAUGCAUUGAGAAAAAUAUACAUUAAUCAUAUACAUUUGAUACUUCGUCGACUGAUUGAAAAUUCACCUCCAACAAAUGACUGAUGAUGGUAACAUACGAUAAGGAUUAAUCUGAUGAGUCACCUUUUUUAGCCCUGAAUAAAAAGAAGAUGGAGAAAAAACAUGGUGACAUAGAUAAAAUAAAAUCUACAUAAUACACAGAUGAAAAACAAAAUUUCUACUAACAUAAAAUACAAGUACCUAGGUAUUUAUAGCAUCAAAUAUUAACUUUUUUUAAUGGUGGAUUUAAGUUUUUAACUUAUUUUAUAUGAAAUUUAUAAAAAAAAAAAUCAAGCUUCUAGAAUGCUAAAAAGGUUUAUAAUAAAUAAUAAUAAUAAUAAUAAUAAAUAUAAAACUAUAAAAUAAAAAUAAAAAUAAAAAUGAAUUGAUAAUACGUUUUUUCUUUAAACUUAUUUGACUAAAAUUUAAGUAUUCUAAUUAUUAAAAAAUUAAAUGUGUUGAAAACCGAAGUCAAAUCAAGACCCAACUCAAGCGGUCAAUGUAUAAAAAAAGAAGUCAACAACAUUUAUUAUAAACAAAAGGAAAUUUAUUUUGCUUAGAUUGGAUUUGAUCGGUUGUCACAGUCAAAAUAAGGUACUAAAAAUUGAUCCUUUAUAAACAAAAGGAAAUUUAUUUUGCUUAGAUUGGAUUUGAUCGGUUGUCACAGUCAAAAUAAGGUACUAAAAAUUGAUCCUUUGCGGCUGCAUUAGGGGGUUCUCGCUCUCCUCCGACGGAAGAACCUCAUUAUUCGGUACCUUGCAUUAAAGGUGAUUCCCUUUCCAUACGAAUAUGCCAGGAUGAAUACGUUAAAGGUCUGGAAGAUUGUCAAUAUGCAUUACGUGGGAGACUAAUCUUGUCUAAAGGCGACAAACCUUACACCGCUCGCGAUUUAGCCUCCAAACUUGGCAAGAUUUGGAAGAUUAUCCAUCAAUGGAAGAUGGUUAAUCUUGGUCAGGGUUUCUACGAUUUUUUAUUUGAAAAUCAUGAUGAUUUUAAUCGGACUUGGACAGCGGGUACAGUUUCACUACAACCAGGGCUCCUUCGCCUCUCCCAAUGGACGAAGGAUUUUAACCACAACGCUCAGACACAAACACACGCCUCUUUAUGGAUCAAACUUGUAGUGUUGCCUCAGGAGUAUUGGCGCGAAAGAACAUUGAAAGAAAUUGCGAGUGCGGUGGGUACCCCUAUUUCUAUUGAUGGACCGACACGUAAUAGAGCUUUCGGACACUAUGCACUCAUUCUUGUGGACAUUGACUUAUCGAAGCGGGUUUAUGAUGAAAUCCUUGUUGAACGGGAGGGGUUUGCUUUUAACGUAGAAGUGCAAUAUGAAAGACGCCCUUUGUUCUAUCAUUGGACAUAAUGUCAUGAAUUGUAAGAGGUUGUCAAGGUCCCUGACCGUGGGAAGAAGCAGGUUACUGAUGCAGCUAGCAAUCCACCGCUUGUUGGGAAGGGAGCUUCUUCAUCAGGCACACUAUGUUAUGUUCCCUUACCAACAGCUGCUGAGACACAUGUUGUUGUUCCCACACCAACAGCUCAUGCACACGCUGUUGUCCCCCCACCAACAGCUGAGACAUGUGCUAUUGUUUGUAACGCCCUAUUUAAUUAUUAGAUUAUUUUAUUGAGUUUAGAGUCUAUUUAUAUGAUUUAUGUGAUUAAAAUGAUUAUGUGGUGUGUUGUUAUUUUAUUAAGUGGUGUUAUUUUAUUAUUUAAUACAAUAAGAUUUGAAAUUAAAAUAAUAUUGAGAUGAGAGGCUGUUUUGAGAAUUUAGAGAGUUUAGUGGAAUAAGUGGAAAUAAGAUAAAGAGGGUUGAGGAAAUAAAUAGGAGAAAACCUAAGUCAGAAUAGUUUUCACGUGAAACAAAACGUUUUGGAGAAAAAGGGAGAAAACAAGAGAAGAGAAGAACCGGAGAGAUCGUAGAGCUUCGUUCAUCUAAAUUAAGGUAAAGGUGAGGCUAAAUCUCAAUAAUCAUAGUGUAUGUGAAUUCUGAAAUUGAUUUAACAUGUGGUUGUUUAUGAAUUUUGGAAUUAGGGUUAGAAUGUAGAAUUGAAUUGUGGAAAGAAGUAGAUAAUCUGAUGGAUGUGCAUUAAGUAUUCUAAGUAUUAAAAAAUUAAAUGUGUUGGGGGUUUAUGCUCCGGAAUGCUUAGUCAUUCAAACACGUUAAAAUGGUACCACAUGCAUGUGCAUUGACGCAUUUGUCGUUGUGUCGUUGCAUAGUCGUUGUUGUUGGUUGAGUUGUAGUCGUUGUUGUUGGUUGAGUUGUUGUCGUUGUUGUUGUCGUUGUUGUUGGUUGAGUUUGUAGGUGUUGUUAAUAUUGAUGAAGUAUGAAACAAGACUAUUGAAUUAUCCGUUGUUAAUUAGGUUGUUAAAUACAGUUGAUGAUUUAUAUACCUAUUAUUAUUGUUUGUGAAUCUCACCCCUUCUGCUUGAAAAUGUUGCCCUUCGUAUGGGUAACUUGCAGGUGAUCGAGGAUAGUUGCUGUUAGUUGUUGUUAGUUGCUGUCGUGAGUGGACCUCCUCUCACGUGUGUCUUAGGUGCUCUGAUAUGUAACGGGAUGAGAAAUAUUGUCGUUGUAUUCAUCAUUCCUUAUGUAUCAUUAUGAACCUGUUGGUGUUGGAUUAAAUCCUUAAAGAUAAUUAUGUUGAGGCCAUGUGCCAAAUUUAUUGAAAGUUGUUUAAUGUUGAAAAUAAUUCCGCUGCGAUGAAUUGAUAUGUUUUACCAAAGUUAUUAUUUAAUAAAUAUGAUUUUAUUCUAUUUAUGAAUUUUUGAAAAGCAGUGUGACAUUCCGUUUGUUGAUUAACUCUGAUUUUACUUAAUAUUUACGUUGUUGGGUUAAUGGGGUGUUACAUUGUUCCCCCAACAGCAGCUGCCAUCCCCAAUAAUAUUGCAACAUCUGUUGUCCCUCCACCAUCAGCUGCAGCCGGUGAGGCAGCAGGUACCACUUGUAGCAACUUGCAAGGUUUUUCUGAACCUAUUCCUCAAGGUAAUCUACCUCGGCCUAAUACACAUGUUUUGGAGCUAGCAGAAUCUGUGAUGAAUGAUGAUGUGCAACGUUCAUCCGAGACACUUCCGGUUAAUCAAAAUAAUAUUUAUGUUGAACACGGCGAAGAACAGGAUGAUGAUGAUGACAUUGAUUUUUUUAUUGAUGAAGAUGGUAUUGCAACAGCUGCACCGAAGACUACUACUACUUCCAUCCCUCUGGUUUUGGCAGCAGUCCCAGUACCUGAUCCUUUGGUGGCUGCCUCGACGGUGGGCUCUCAGGAUGAUAACGCUUUAUCCAUUGCCGUCCCGGAGAAACACAACAAUGAUAGAGUUCAACAUGAUAUGGAACUUUGUGAAAAAGAGUAUGAUAUGCAGGUUGAAGCUCUUUCUGGGUCACGCCCUUCCUUGGCGUCACCGGUUGUUGUAGAGAGGUCUCUUGAAGCUAGCGCUAGCAUGACAAUACCAGAAGCUCAAGAGGUUGUAGUUUUACAACAACAACAUGUACAUCCCAUCAAGAACAUUCAACACGGCCUAGAUCUAUGGGACAGAGUUCGUGAAUAUGAUGCAAGGUCAGCUGCAGAAGAUUUCACACCGGUCCUUACAAGGAAGCAGAAAUAGAAAAUUAAAGUGCAACAAGUCUUGGCUAAGCAGCCCCCUAAAACCCGUGCCCGGGGUGAUAAUCAUCAGACUGCUCAAUGAAUUUCCUCCAUUGGAAUGUUAGAGGUAUCAGUAAUUAUGAUACUCGGAUUGCUUUAAAAAUUUAUACAUGUCUCAAAAAACUGUUCUGAUUUUUAUUGAGGACCUAGCAUGGGUCACUCAGUGCAAAGAACGGUUUGACUAUCUUCUCUCCCUAAUGAGUGAUUUCUUUAGGGAUAGAUGUGGUUUACCCAACGACAUAUUUCCAUAAUUUGUUUUACGGUGUUUUUUGUUGAUUCCUUUAUUCUUGCUUUCUGUUUUUUCUCUAGAGGGUUUUGGUCUAGUCCCCCCUCCUUUGUAUUUAUUUUCCCCCUUUUUUUAAUAAAUUUUUUAGAGUUUGGCAGCAUAGGAUGGAGAUUUCUCACGGUGCCAACCAAGUUGGGAUGUCGAUGUUGCCUCUUGAUGUCUGUCCAUUCUCCUUGCUUAUAAAAAAAUUAUUAAAAAAUUAAAUGUGUUGAAAACCGAAGUCAAAUCAAGACCCAACCAAGCGUCAAUGUAUAAAAAAAUGAAGUCAACAACAUUUAUUAUAAACAAAAGGAAAUUUAUUUUGCUUAGAUUGGAUUUGAUCAGUUGUCACAGUCAAAACUAAAAAUUGAUCGAGUCUAUUUAAGAAAAUAAGGUUUUUAUUUUAUUUUUAUAUUUUCGUCCGGUUGGUGAACUUUGCAAUGGAUGUGAGAAAUCAUAUUUUAAGGCAUCUAACUAAAGACCUCCUAUUAGCGAGUAUUCUUGUACGCAUUGUACUCAAUUCCAUAUUAAACAUGCCACGAACAAUCCAAAUAAAUGGACCGAUGAAUCUAUACCAGAAAUAGAUUAUAUCUAUUCAUGUUAUAAUUUAAGAUUUCACUAGGUAAUUUUGAUUGCAUUAUAACUAUAAGCCUUUGAUUUUUUAAUACAUGAAUUGAUUGCGGAAACAUUACAACUAUUUAAUUUGACUAUAUGCUUUGUUAUCUUAUUUUUGUCAAAAAAAUUAAAUUUAAACUCAUAUCAUAAAAUAAUGAAUGCAACUUGAUAAUAUAUAUUACAAUCACAAAAACUUAAAUAUUAUUCCAUAAACCGAAGACUUAACAUAAUUAGCUUUAGUAAAAAAUCUACUCUCGAAACUCUCUUUUACACGUAAAUAAGCAUUAGGUAAAAAAAAAUUGCUUUUGGUUUUUACUGUUUUUUUUUCUACAUGUGUUCGACAAUAUUUUUUUUUUCUAAGCCAGGAUAUUGGACAGGCAUCAACGGGAAGCAACGACAUCCCAACUAAGUGGCACCCCGCAGAACCCCCAUCCUAUACCACCAAUCUCAGAGAAAAUUUUGUUAAAAAAGGGGGAACUUUAAUUAACUUUUUCCCGAUUCACAUUUCUUAAAUUAACUCAAUUCUUGCAUCCAUUGUUCGUUUUUUCCCAUUAAGCACUUCUGAUUCAUUCCAAAACAGCUCAUUCAUCAAAAACUAUGCCAAAACCUGUAAGCAGCUUUCUGCAGAAUUUACCAAACUUCAAAUGCGUUUUUCGAAUCCAUUUCUAAUCAGAAUCAUACCAAAUCUAUAUCCAAACUGAAGGGAAUCAAAUGUAGAAAUAAAAAAUUCAACAAUUAUACAAGUAUGGGUUACACAUCUAAAUUUAAAGCUUAUUAUGAAACUCACCUCUAAUACAACUUCCAUUGAUACCAAAAACUUCAAAGCUGUCUGUCUCUUUUAAAGCUUCUGCUCAAACUUCCUUCUAUUCCUUCCCAUCAGUUCUUUCUUCUAAACACCAACAUAUACAACCAUCAUCAAUAGAUUACAUGCAAGCCAUUUAUCAAGCUGAAGAUAAAACUUUCCAAAACAACAUGUGAAGGAUGAUGGUACGGCCGGGGAAGAAAAGAAAGCAAUUAAGUUUGUUUUAGGGAUGAAAUAGUGUGAGGAUUGUGAUAGUUUCUUUGCAUGUUGGAUUGAUAUAAGAGAUUGAGUGGAAAUUUUUGAAGUUUGGACGGGAGAACUAUGGGGGCCGAGCCAAAAAGAGAGGAGGAGGGAGAGAGAGACUAUGUACGUGAGAGAGAAUUGGAAGGAAAAAGAUAAGAAGAAAAAUGUGGUUUAGCUCUUUUAUAAUCUUUUGAUAAAAUUAUUACCACAAUGCCCUCCUCUUAAGAUGUUGUUCAGUCACAGUUAAAAGGACACUGCAUUCUAUCCGGAAUUAAGCGGGAUAUUACGAAUUCAAAAUAAGUUAACAUAAUUCCCAAUGAAUAGUAAGUCAAUAAAUUCAUAUAUACUAUUCAACAAUGAUAACUAAAACUUAGAUCCAAAUUUCGUUACGAUGUUGCAAUGAUGUGAACAUAGAAGAAAUUUGAUUUGACUUCUCAUUAGGUUUGACCUAGUGUAGCCUUUGUGUAAACGAGGUUUGACCUAGUGUAGCCUUUGUGUAAACGAGAAAUUUAUCUUUGAUGGCCUUUUAAAACAUUGUUAUUGAAAUGUGAAAUUCAAUCAAAUCGACGAAAUACCAAAUGCAUUGAGAAAAAUAUACAUCAAUCAUAUACAUUUGGUACUUCGUCGACUGAUUGAAAAUUCACCUCCAACAAAUGACUGAUGAUGGUAACAUACGAUAAGGAUUAAUCUGAUGAGGCACCUUUUUUAGCCCUGAAUAAAAAGAAGAUGGAGAAAAAACAUGGUGACAUAGAUAAAAUAAAAUCUACAUAAUACGCAGAUGAAAAACAAAAUUUCUACUAACAUAAUAUACAAGUGCCUCCAUGAAUUUAAACAAGUACCUAGGUAUUUAUAGCAUCAAAUAUUAACUUUUUUUAAUGGUGGAUUUAAGUUUUUAACUUAAUUUAUACGGAAUUUAUAAAAAAAAAUUCAAGCUUCUAGAAUGCUAAAAAGGUUGAUAAUAAAUAAUAAUAAUAAUAAUAAAUAUAAAACUAUAAAAUAAAAAUAAAAAUAAAAAUGAAUUGAUAAUAUGUUUUUUCUUUAAACUUAUUUGACUAAAAUUUAAGUAUUCUAAUUAUUAAAAAAUUAAAUGUGUUGAAAACCGAAGUCAAAUCAAGACUAAUUUGAUCCUAAAAUUCUCUCUCUUGACAAGAAUAAUAAAGUCAUUGUGGAAUAAAAGAAUCAAAUUAAUUUUGGGUUCAAAGUUUUAUUUUUGUAGGUCAUGAUAUGUAUGUCUUGUUUUGGCUAUAUCUGGAGCUCUGGAUGUCCGUUUGAGGUGAUCUUUAACUCAUUGGAAAGCUUACGGAAUUCUCUACAUUUCGUCUGUUUGACUCAGGAGCUAUUCAAGCUAUAAAUUCAAGGUCGAAUUCUCUUGAGGAGGGAGAGUAUGAUGUGAUCCUAAAUUUCUCUCUCUUGACAAGAAUAAUAAAGUCAUUAUGGAAUAAAAGAACCAAAUUAAUUUCGCCUUGAGGAAUCGCCACAAUGGUAAGGAAUCCAUUGAUAAGAUUCGAUAAACUUGGUUCAAUCUAGAACCAAAAAGAAGCAAAGCUUCACAACACACAAAGUGUAUUUUUUUUUAUCAAAAUUCAACUUGUCCCCUUCAUUAUUUCCGCCCCCUUUAUAUAGGAAAUAAACUUGAAUGCUAAAAAGCUUACAAUCAUAGCAUAAUUUGUGUUAUAACUCCUUGGUGGCUAGUUAUUACAAAAGAGGUUACAAUUUAAUUGGAUCUUUAAAGUUGGUGGCUGAUCAAUGCAUGAGAAGGUUACAUAUUCAUUUUCACAUUGAUUUGUGAAGGCUUAUUAUGUCUAGACGUUACAAUUCCACAAACACCACCUUUAAUUCUUCAGCUAACACACUUUAACCACGUCUUCUACUUAUAGCUCAUUCUACACCACUAAAUAUUCCGAAUUUGCUUUUGAGUCAAACAGACGAAAUGUAGAAAAUUUCGUAAGCUUUCCAAUGAGUUAAAGAUCACCUCAAACGGACAUCUAGAGCUCCAGAUAUAGCCAAAACAAGACAGACAUAUCAUGACUUACGAAAAUAAACUUUGGACCCAAAAUUAAUUUGGUUCUUUUAUUCCACAAUGACUUUAUUAUUCUUGUCAAGAGAGAGAAUUUUAGGAUCACACCAAAGACCCAACUCAAGCGGUCAAUGUAUAAAAAAAGCAGUCAACAACAUUUAUUAUAAACAAAAGGAAAUUUAUUUUGCUUAGAUUGGAUUUGAUCAGUCGUCACAGUCAAAACUAAAAAUUGAUUGAAUCUAUUUAAGAAAAUAAGGUUUUUAUUUUAUUUUUAUAUUUUCGUCCGGUUGGUGAACUUUGCAAUGGAUGUGAGAAAUCAUAUUUUAAGGCAUCUAACUAAAGACCUCCUAUUAGCGAGUAUUCUUGUACGCAUUGUACUCAAUUCCAUAUUAAACAUGCCACGAACAAUCCAAAUAAAUGGACCGAUGAAUCUAUACCAGAAAUAGAUUAUAUCUAUUCAUGUUAUAAUUUAAGAUUUCACUAGGUAAUUUUGAUUGCAUUAUAACUAUAAGCCUUUGAUUUUUUAAUACAUGAAUUGAUUGCGGAAACAUUACAACUAUUUAAUUUGACAAUAUGCUUUGUGAUCUUAUUUUUGUUAAAAAAAAUAAAUUUAAACUCAUAUCAUAAAAUAAUGAAUGCAACUUGAUAAUAUAUAUUACAAUCGCAAAAAUUUAAAUAUUAUUCCAUAAACCGAAGACUUAACAUAAUUAGCUUUAGUAAAAAAUCUACUCUCGAAACACUAUUUCACACGUAAAUAAGCAUUAGGUAAAAAAAAAAAUUGCUUUUGGUUUUUACUGAUUUUUUUUCUACAUGUGUUCGACAAUAUUUUUUUUUUUCUAAGCUAGGAGAUUGGACAGGCAUCAAAAAGAAGCAACGGCAUCCCAACUAGAUGGCACCCCGCAGAACCCCCAUCCUAUACCACCAAUCUCAGAGAAAAUUUUAUUAAAAAAGAGGGAACUUUAAUUAGCUUUUCCCCGAUUCACAUUUCUUCAAUGAACUCAAUUCUUGCAUCCAUUGUUUGUUUUUUCCCAUUAAGCACUUCUGAUUCAUUCCAAAAUAGCUCAUUCAUCAAAAACUAUGCCAAAUCCUGUAAGCAGCUUUCUACAGAAUUUACCAAACUUCAAAUGCGUUUUUCGAAUCCGUUUCUAAUCCGAAUCAUACCAAAUCUAUAUCCAAACUGAAGGGAAUCAAAUAUAGAAAUAAAAAAAUUCAACAAUUAUACAAGUAUGGGUUACACAUCUAAAAUUAAAGCUUAUUAUGAAACUCACCUUAAAUGCAACUUCCAUUGAUGCCAAAAGCUUCAAAGUUGUCUGUCUCUUUUAAAGCUUCUGCUCAAACUUCUUUCAAUUCCUCCCAUCAGUUCUUGCUUCUAAACACCAACAUAAGGUAAAACCAUCAUCAAUAGAUUACAUGCAAGCCAAUUAUCAAAGCUUCUUGAAAUUAAAGCUUCUUGAAAUUCUGGCACGUUAGACUUACGAUGUUAUGUGCGAUGUUUCAACACAAGUUAUACAGAAACAAAUGUUGAAUAAAAUGUUUCGAACACUAAGCUACCACAAGACAAGAAAAAAAAUUCAAAGCAUAAAGUAAAAGGCACAGAGAGUUUGUUAACCCAGUUCGGUGCAACGUCACCUACUCUGGGGGAUACCAAGCCAGGAAGGAAAUCCACUAGUGUAGUUCGUAUUCAAUAGCUCUAAGCAAACUCCUCGUUUGCACUAAUGACCUAGGACCUACCCAUACUGACUUCAACCUAGGAACUUCUAGAUCUGAGAUCCCAUCUCAGUCCCUUACAACUGAUCACAGCCCCUUUGAUACUCAAAUAACAAAUACAAUCAAUAUGAAGUUACCUUCAAACAAAACAACUAAACACCGUACUUCACAGCUUAGGUGCAGUUUACAAACUACCUAACUCUUUGCUUAAAAGCUUCAGAGUAGUGCACAAUUUACAACUCAAACACAGUCCUAAACAUGCAUCAAGAUGAUACACGAAAGGCUCACAUAGACAGACUCAAAACCCUAGAUGAUCUAUUCUUCAAAUGACGGCUUGAAUCAUUCUCUAGGUCUUCCAGUCUUGUUUAAAUACUGAAGCAAUACGAGUCAGUAAACUUGUUGGGCUACAGAACAAUCCAGUGAUCCAUUUCAGGUACAACAGAACCAGAAAAGGAAACUCCUAAUAUGUAGACACAUAAUUAGGAACAUCCUGAUCACCUCCAAACUUUCCUAAGUAGAUAACACAAUCUUAGGAAAUCACAAACGAUCUGAUCCUGUGCUAAAAACACGCAGCUUGGCCAACAAGAAUAAAGGGGUGGAUUCCUUAAAUAAAAUAGCGCGUGCGAAAAACAAGGCAAGGUACAAGUCAACUGAACCAUGCCAUGAUGUUGACACAUCUUGUUCAACAUCUCACAUGAAUAUUUGUUUUAGGCAAAAGUGAAGCCAAUAUACAAAUAUCCAAGAAUCUCCCCCUUUGGCAAAUUUUUGGCUAAAACAAACUAAGGCCAGUCCAAUCAAAGUUGAGAGAUAACACGCAACCUUUUCUUCAAUCAUCACACAUAAUCAACCAUGAAGAAAGGUACACAUACUCAAAUUACCGAUAUAUACCACAAAAUAUAAAUCUUCAGUCACUUCAUAAUCUUCAGAAGUUGGAAGAGGUAUAUCACAGGUCUCAGAAUCUACUUUCAUAAUUUUUCACAAAUAAUCAUCAUAUGAAACAGUAGAUAAGAGAAAUAGGUACCAUACUAUAAAAUCAAAGCCUUGCACCAACGGAAACACAAGGAAAAAUAAAUUCUCAUUAAACAUGCAGAAGCUACCUAGAAUGUUCUAACCUUCCAUAAAACAUUCACAGAUACUGGAAAAAAUAAAUUUCCAUAUACACUUGCAACUGCAGAACAUUCACAGAAUCAAUCCCCCUCAAAGAUGCAACCAUUGAGUGAUUACUGACACAAACACUCCCCCUGAAUACAUGCAUAUAUAAACAGAAGCCUUCGAAGCUGACAGAUAUAACUUCUACUAGCACAUUAUAAGAACAGGCAUGCAUAAAAAAGAACACCAAAUCAGGAGUUCUUCAAACACAGGCACACAUUGCAGAGAUGUGUUCCAACAUCACCUGACACAUUAUCUGCUAAACAACUACCUGCUAAACAUACUCAGGCAUACAGGUACAAACACCCAAAGGUAUGCAGAGAUCAUCAUAGAACAUAGAACCAUACUAGCAUCUUCUUUUACUCCCCCUUUUUAGCCAUAAAAUGUGCUAGAAUAAGAACUUGAAACCAAACAGAGAUUACCAGAUUCUAGUAAGAAGAAGUCUUCAAAUUAAAAGUUGUUCAGAAUCAUAAGAGAACCAAAAAAUAAAAAUGCAGAAAUUAUAUGGUUACAGACCACAACACUUAAAGUGCUCAAAUUAUCCAGGGCAUAGCCCACAAAACACACAAAAGAGAAAAAGAACAGAAAGAAAAAAAAAAUCAUUCUUCUGCCUCAGAGCUGCUCCCAGAUUCUUCCUCUUCACCUUUUUUGGUCAAAUCUUCAUUAGCAUCCUCACCCUCAUCAUCAGGAUCAUCUUCAUCUUCAACUUCCCUUUCACUUUCAGCCUCUUCAAACUCCUUUUCACUCUCUGCCUCUUCAACAGCGCUAUCAACAGCCUUUUUCUCCAUAGCAAGAAUCAUAAGGUCAAUCUGAGUCUUCCUCUCACCCAGGAUCACACUUGUAGCCUUUAAACCAACAAUGAUUUGUUUGUCAGACAUAUUACCUGCAUUAGGAGUAGGCACAGAUGUUCCAACCAGAUCUGGAGCAUGACUGUCUCCAAACAGUUUCUGAUGGAAAGUAAGGGGAAAAUCCCUUUUCAUGGGCAAAUCAGCAGCAGAGAUGAUAUUAGGGUGUUGACUGUUUGACAUCAUCAAUCUUAGCAUGCCUCAUGGUCUGAUCAAAAACAUACCUCCUAAUGCCCAUCUUAGUCUUAGUUCCUACAACAAAAAAAAAUCUAGCCAAACCUGUUGCUAUAUCUGAAGAGUGAGUAGUAGGAACCCAAUUGGCAACACCAAUUCUGUUAAGAAUCGCAUACUUCAAGCUCAGCUUUCCGGAGGAAAUCUUUCCUUUCUUUGGCCAAACUUGCACCUUAUUGGCUGUGAUCUCUUUGCAAAUCUGAUUAUAUGUAGCUUCCACCUCAGCAGCUCCUCCUUCAAUACCUAGAAAAUUAUAGAUGAUGUUGGGGGAGAAGUUGACACAUUCUCCUCUAACGUACACUUUUUGAUAAUUUCUCCUAAGAGGAUUAUCAUAGUCCAUGGGAAUGUUCACCAAGAAUUCUCUAACCAGCUUUUCAUAGCACUCUCCUAACUUGCACACAGUCUUCUCCAGACCAGCCUCUCUGAUUAAACUCAUAACCUCCUCAAUUUUCAACACUUCUUCACUUAAUUCUCUUUCCAAAGCGAGCCUUCUGUGGUAAAUGAAUUUCCACCUCUAAGCAAAGCUUGGAAGAUGAAAGGAUACUUUGUCAAUGGGAACAUCUUCCACAAUCUGCAGAUCUUUCUUCCCAGCAGCUUUCUUGGAUUCUGAGGGAGUGAUGUUUAGCACAUCCAGCUCAGCAUCAUAUUCUGACUCACUUGAAGAGACAACCUUUCUCUUCCUAGAGCUACCAGCACCACUUUUCACCAUCACCUUACUCCAGUUCUUCUUGGGACCAAUACCAGCCGUUUUUGUCUUGCUUUUUGGGGUUUCAUCUACAGUGAUAGUUGUCCUCUUAGAGGAUUGGCUAGUGGCAGGGACAGCUUCCCUUGUUGCUUCUGAGUCUCUUGUUCACACUGUCUCCAAGAGUCUGUACCAGGGGAACAUCAUCCAAUUCAAGAUCAUCGACAUCCACUAUAACACCCUAUUUCUAUUAAAGCGAUAAAACUCGCGAAUAAAGCAUAUAUUCAAUAAAUAGACGCUACGUCAUCAUACAAAAUUCAAAUUCAUCAUGCAAGCAUAAAAAUCUCAACAGUCGCAGCGGAUAUAUAAACCAUAUACUUCGAAGCAUACAUGACAUACAAACAAAAAUACAUCAACAUAAAUGUUCUCCAAGUCCCGACAAAAGGGUAAAUCUCCAACAUGAAUAAAUCCAACAAAUAAUCUAGACCAACAUAACAGACACCUAGAUCAGAGCCUAUCCUAGACCCUACAAAACCGAUACCGGAGAUAGCUCCCGAUAUCCAACCAAGCAUCAAUCAACUCACCGGAGCAACUAAUCCAGCACAGUGUCUACCCAUUCAUACAGACAGGUAGGCGGUCAAAACCACUGGGGUAAGUAUUACAUCAAUCAUAAUCCACAUAACAGUUAAUCAUGAAUAAUUCAAUUCCAAGUACUUAGCAUAAACAAUUAAUUCAAUGUGUGCAUUUACAUAGCAUUUCAAAAUAAUACAACCAAGUAUCCACCAAGCACAUUUAUCAACAAUUCAUAUCAUUCACAAUCUCAUCAUAACUUCAACAAAUAUUCAUUCACAAACUUCAACAAUUAUCAUUCACAUGCAACAAAUCAACUCAUGUUAAUUAUGCAAUGCGCCUAACACCGACGCCUACAUGCAUGUGGUACCAAGCACAACAACGUCUAGGCCGUUACCCCAUGAUGUCAACUGCACAUCAUUUGUAAGAAUACACCUCCUCUUACACACAACUAUGUAAAAGUACACCUCCUUUUACAUUUCACAUAUGACAAUGAUGCAUGGACAUAGCAAAGACCAAAUAAUGCAACUCCACAACUCACAACAACAUAAUGUAAAAGUACACCUCCAAUUACAUUGUACAACUUCAACAACAAUUGCAUUAUCAAACAUUCACAUCCACACAACCAACAUGUCAUAAUUCAAUUAAGAGUCACCACCAAAAUAUCAACACACAUUCAUUAAUCAACUACUUCAUAUAGUUUCACCAAUCCAAUUGUCUCAUAUUCCAAGUAAGAGAACAUACAACAUCUCAUGAUCAUAUCAUAUCAACAUGUCACAAUUCAUUCAUACAUCUUCAUUUAGUCAAAUGAAGCUAGUCACAAAAGGUCAUAAGAUAAUUGACUUAAAGGAAUCUUUUCCGACAAAACCGUAUCAAGUGGCAAACGGCCAACAUCGAUAACUCUCAAAGUUAGGUAACGAUAUAAAGUUUAAAAACUCACCAAACAAUCUUAAUCAAGAGCUUAAGCCGAUUACAAACUAUUAGACAUUAGUUCAAAGACUAGCUUAAGUUCGUAUGAUAAAACCCAAGUUAACAUUUUUCACAUUGCCAUACGAAAUUCACGUUUAACAUGAUUAAGAUGUUUGACCAACAUUACAAGCCUUACCUAAGUCUAUAUGAGCUGUAGGUUUAACUUGUAAUCUCAUUCAUUUCAUAAAAGUUCAAUUCAUCAAAAUCCGAAAUUCCCAAAAAUAUGCAAGUUUCAACCCAAAAUGGAAAAUCCCAAGUUUGAAUGAGCUAAACAUGUUCCAGUAGGUUUAGAGGUUCAAACAGAGAUUAAACAAGUUGAAAGGAUCAUUUUACAAAGCUCGGAUUGACCCCCUAAAUCCCAGAACAAAAAUCAAAAGUGGCUGAAUCUGGGCAGGUUCGCUUAAGCGACCACUUCGCUUAAGCGAAGAAGUUCCAGUAGCUACCUGUAAUGUACACUUACUGAUCGAUUACCGUUCGCUUACCUGUUCGCUAAAGCGAACACCUGGUUUGCUUAAGCGAACAAGUUCCAGUAGCUAUUAGUAAUGUACGCUUACCGGUCGCUCACAGGUUCGCUUAAGCGACAUGUUUCCAGAACUUGCUAUGAUGGUUCGCUUAAGCGAACAGUCAUAGUUCUGCAGAAAAAUAUUACGGGUUUCAACCCCUUUUCACCCAAAACCCCCAAUUUUGAUCUUCCAAUGCCCAAAUGUGUUUCCAGAGGUUGUUUACAGGUCAUUAUAACUAAAUUGAUUCACAAGAACACAACCAACAUGAAAACCAAUGACAUUUGAACCAAUUCACCAAUUUUGCAAAACUACCAACAACAACUCAUUUCUCAUCCUCAAGUCAUGAAUUAUGAAUACCCAAGCCAUGAAUCAUCAACAACAACAUCACUCAACAAUUUGAGCAUAAUUCAACAUAUAUCACUUUCUCAUACUUUGAACAUGAAAUUUCACCAACAACAAUUCAAUUAUCAACAACUUCAUGCAUUUAAACAUAUCAUCAUAAUUGGAGCACGAAUUCUAACAAUUAUGAACAAUUAUUCAAUUAUUCAAUUAAGCACUUAAUCAUACAACAAUUGAAAAUUUACACUAAAAAUGAUUAUGAUUGAAUUCUAACCCCCUUACCUUAAUUAUCACCAAUUCCUAACCCAAGCUUCACUUUAGCUCCUAGGAUCUCUCCAAUUCUUGAAUCUUCAAGCUCUUCUUCUCUCUAAACCUUUUUCCUCUUUUCCUUCACUUUCUCUCUCUACCUCUCUCAAAAUAUCUUAUGUAAUGAAAAAUGAGUGAUAUUUUAUCUUAAGACAAGUCUUAUAUAGUCUAUUUUCCUAAUGGGCUUAACCCUAAACCUUAGUGGACUUAACCCACUCCAACUCAAUUCUAAAAUGUUUCUACACUCACAACGGUAAAAUACUAUUAAUGAUCACUCAACGGUAAAAUACUAGCAACGGUCACUUAAUGGUAAAAUACUAAUUAUUACCCUAGUAACUUAGUAAAAUAAUGGUUCUCACUAAACGCUAAAAAUAAUUCUCACCAAAAUUAGUAAUUUUACCCCUCUAGCACGAAACCCAUGAAAAUGCACCCAGUGAUGAAUAAUCACACACAAGCACAAAUAAACACAAUAAAAUAAUUAAAAAUAAUUCUAACGGAAAUCGGGCUGUUACAUCCACCACUUCUUUAUCACUCUUUUUACCAUCUGAAUCUACUUCUUCAACAUCUUUUUCAAAGUCACCACCAGAUCUACCUCUUUCAUCAGUAUGGGAGUCCUUAACCGAGUUAUCAAGAUUCUCAUCCUCCUCUAGGUCAGUCUGAACACUUGGUUCCUUUUUCUCACUAACAAUAUCUUCCACACCAGCAGGUUUAACAGGUUGGCCCAAGGAUGUGCCAACAUUCGGUCCAACAUCAACUUGAACAUCAGUUUCUUUUGGAGUAUUUUCUAUAGAUUCAUCGGCCCUAGUGUCAACAGCAGGGUUACUCACAUCCAUGUUCUCAUUACUUUCUAUGGCAUCAUUCAAUACUUCUAACCCUAGUUUUCUACCAGAUAUAGGUUCUUUAGAAAUUAGGGUUGAAUCAAGAUUACCUUUUUAAUCCCCAAGGGUUGCAGCAUCCGAAGCCACUUUGGGUGUAUUUCCAUCAUCAUCAGCACUUUGAGAAGUGGAACCUUCCUCGAUAGCUUUAAAAGAAUUCUCCUUUUUGUAGAGAUCCGUCAUGGACAGGGCUACUCUCGAAUCGCCUUUCUUCAGAGUCUUAUUCUUUGGAGAAGGCUUAACAACAUUUUUCUUUUUGGAUUUUAAAGGGGGAACAACGGUGAGAGGUUUAAACUUCUUUGGAACAGAGGAAUCAGUUUCUCGUUGUUCGGUCGUGUUCUUAUCAACAAAAACAGAAGGGUCGUUUUUGAACUUGAUGAUGAUGUGAUGUUGAUGAUAACGUUUGUGAGGAUGAAGCUUUUGAGGAUUGGUUGCAAAAAUAAGGAGGUGAACAUUUUUUAGAAGUUCAGAGAAAUAGAAAGUGAGACAAGGGUUAAGCAAUGUAUGAUUGCGGUUAGUUAGGAGAAGAGAAAUAAUUCGAACCAAAUAGCCUGAAUUAGUGUGCCCCAGUAAACGGUAAGAUACGCAUAAAGUCCUUGCACGCCUUCUUGAAAAAAGAAGAAAAAGCCAACACAAUUCAACCCCCCUUCUUGUGUUUUUCUCACCUUCAAUUGGUAUCAGAGCUUUGAUCUGUUGUCAAAACACUUAACAUUGUAACAGAAAAAGAUCUGAGAAAAACAUGUCUGGUGCGAAACCUGAAUCCAGUACGAGAAAUGCUAUUCCAUAUGAUUAUGGUAGCAACAAGAAAUCUGACUAUGGAAAAGUUCCAAAGUUCAAUGGAGAUCCUGAAGAAUUUUCCUGGUGGAAGACCAACUUCUAUAGUCAUGUCAUGGGUUUAGAUGAAGAUCUAUGGGACAUACUAGAAGAUGGUAUUGGUGACUUAGUCGUUGAUGAAGAAGGAGCUUCUAUUGAUAGAAGAAAACAUACUCCUGCUCAGAAGAAAUUCUACAAGAAGCAUCACACAAUCAGAGGAGCACCUGUCAAAGCUAUACCUAAAGCAGAGUAUAUGAAGAUGAGUGACAAAUCCACUGCUAAGUCAAUGUUUCCUUCUCUUUGUGCUAACUAUGAAGGUAGUAAGAAAGUCAAAGAAGCAAAAGCUCUGAUGCUUGUUCAUCAGUAUGAGUUGUUCAAAAUGAAAGAUGAUGAAAGUAUUGAGCAAAUGUACUCAAGAUUUCAUACUCUAGUUUCUGAACUUUAAAUACUGAAGAAAAGCUAUGUAGCCUCUGAUCAUGUGAGAAAGAUACUUAGAAGCUUACCUGCAAGAUGGAGACCAAAGGUGACUGCUAUUGAGGAAGCUAAAGAUUUAAACACUUUAAGUGUUGAAGAUCUUGUCAGCUCUCUCAAAGUUCAUGAGAUAAGUCUUAAUGAACAUGAACCUUCUAAAAAGAGUAAAUCCAUUGCUCUACCAUCAAAAGGGAAGUCAUCAAAAGCUCUUAAAGUUGUUGAAUAUGAAGAAGAAUCACCCGAUGAAGAUCCUGAUGAAGAUCAUAUAGAGAAGAUGGCUAUGCUUUCCAAUAAGCUUGAGUAUAUGGCAAAGAAGAACAAGAAGUUUCUGAGUAAGAAUGGUGGCUAUAAGAACUCUAAGAAAGAAUAUCAGAAGGGAUGCUUCAACUGUAAGAAGCAUGGACACUUCAUUGUUGAUUGCCCUGAUCUUCAGAAGGAGAAAUCAAAGGACAAGUCAAAGAAAUCAAGCUUCAACACAAGGAAAUUUAGAAAGCAGAUCAAAAAGAGUUUAAUGGCAACCUGAGAAGAUUUAGACAGUAAUUCAGACUUGAAAAGGAAGAUUCUUAAGAAGAUGCUAAAGUAGUUGUUAGGUUAGUGGCUAAUGUGAAUUCAGAAGCAGAUUCUGAAGAUGAAAAUGAGGUAUAUUCUAAAUUUCCCAUAGAAAAAUUGAUUGAGUCUCUUAAAGAACUUCUUACACAUUUUGAAUAUAGAACCAAUGAGUUGAAAGAUUUAAAAGAAAAAUAUGUUGCUUUGAUGAAACAACAAGAAUCAACUCUAUUGGAUCUGAAAGCUUCUGAAGAAGGACUUAGAGGGUUUGACUUCAUUUGUAGAACUUAUGAAGAAAAACUCAAGCAUCUUUGUCAGAAACUACAAGAAAAGUGUAAUGGAAAGUUUUUCAGUAAAGAAGAAAUUGCUCUUGAGGAGUAGAUUAUGUCAGGUAUUGACAGGAGCAAAGUUGCUUCUAUGAUUUAUAGCAUUUACAGAAACAAUGGUAAAGGGAUGGAUUUUCAGAAGGGAAACCAAAUGAAAUCAGUCUUAAAGCCGGUUGUGAAUGCAUCAGGAAGGAUUGAAAACCGUCUUUGUACCUGAAGGUGUAACACCCUAAAACCCACAUAUUAUUUUCUAAAUAAAAAUAUAAUAAUUAAUUAAACAUGCAAGGAUGUCACACAUCUUCUUCAAUUUAAAAAUACUUCAUUUAAAUAAAAACACGUCGAAACGGAAUAAAUUCAAAACAUCAAUGUAAUUGUCACAUCAGUGUAUCGACAUCAGAACUAAAUUCAAAGUCGAAUUUUGAAAACAAAAUCUAAAAUAAAAAGAAUCCCCAAUCCCUAGUGCCACUGAUCAGAGCUUCGACUCAAUAAAUACUCCCAAAAGCGAUAAGAAAAAAAAGAGAAGGCUCCAACGCCAUCCUCCGAGACUCACUGCUACUAAGAUAUUCUUUCUGCAAAUGUACACCACAAGGGUGCAGGCGCCCAACCUGCCACUAGAGGGUGAGAAUAUAUUCAACAUAAGAAAUUCAUAAACAUAUGUAUAGAUCCAGACUAAAGAAUACAUCAAUUAUAUUUAGAAAUGUAUGCAUCAUAAUCAGAUAAUAUUCACAUUUGAAUAUAUAAUUUAAUUUAGUAAAAAUCUAAUAGGCAUCAAUCAACAUCUUAUAAUAACAUGUGAACAUCAACAAUCAUAUAUUCAUAUUUAUUCACAUCAUUUAAUAAUCAUCUUUCAUCAUUUAAUAGAAACAAACAUAUCACCGUCAUUAAAUAAACUCAUCUUCAACUAUAAAUUUAUAUAUAUAUAGAUACUACAUCGUCAAAUAUACUACAUCUUCAAAUAUAUAUUUAUAUAUAGAUACUACAUCGUCAAAUAUACUACAUAUUCAUAUAUGCUUGACAAUGAAUGCAAUGUCCCUAACUCGACUCUAUAUGCAUGUGGUACCAAACCUAUCACCAUUGUCAAAUAUUUGGAUAUCAGAGGUAUGUUACUGAUUUUGUCCACACCAUCGUCAAAUACAACAUUGUCAAAUAUGACUGACCAUGAAUGCAUGAACACCAAACUAAUGACUCGACAAUGCACAUCUUUAUAAAACUCGACAAUUACACAUCUUUAAAUAGCUCAUCAUCAAAUAUUACUAUAUUACACACAUCUUUUAACCACACAUAUUCAAAUAACACAUCUUUAUAGAACACAUCUUUAAAUCACACAUCUUCAAACAUUACAUCUUUAAAUAUCAUAUAAAUUUUAAAAUUCAAAUGUGAUAAAAUCCAAAUAAUUAAAAUCAUAGUAUUCACAUAAAUAAUUAAGAAUGAUUCAAAGUCCAUUAGCAGCGAAGAAAACAGUAGCGACCAAAAAAUAAUAUAGUGAAAGAGAAGAAGCAAAAUUCACACCAAUAUUGAUAUACAUUUAGCAAACCCUAUCGGUAUGAUAAGAAUAAAAAAAAAGUAUAUAUGUAUAUAAUUAUCCAAGAAGCCGAAGUGAACGAAUCCGAAAUUGAGUUAUGUCGUGCAAAAUUUCAUGAAACUUUGAUCAAGAAAUUUAACCAAAUAAAUUAAUAAAAUUGUGAGGAUUUUAUUUUAAUUGAAAAUUGUAGCAUAUAGUCACAUACUAACCGAAUGGGGAUCAUUGAUAAAUUGAUGAAGCAUGCAUAGGAUCAACACCAUGUAAAUAUAAAUAUAUACAUACCAAAAUAUACUGAAUGACAAUUUACGAAAAAUAUGUACAUGCAUAAAUUCGAAUGACAUAAAGGACACAAUUUUCUCAAUUUGAAUUUAACUGAAGAAUCGAACACAUGGAUCACAAAAGUAUGCAUAAAACAAUCAAUCACAAUUUAACAAAAAUCAUCAAAAAAUUAUGAAAACAAACAAAAACCCUUCACAACCCAUAUAUUCAUACAACCCUUAUGGUGAAUAGAGACUCCCCCCUUACCUCUAAUUUUGAGAAAUUGAUAAUUUCAUACGGUAAAAUCUCUCUCUAGGUUCUUCUCGUUAUUCCUCCUUGUCUCUUCUCUCCACAACCCUAGCUAAUUUUUCCGUUGCCGCUUUAUUUCUCUCUUUUUCGGUAAUCCUUUUUCUCUAAUAUUCUUCUCUAUUUAUAAGCUCUAAUUGAGUUUAUUACAAAUAUUUUUAGAUUACUAUAUGUUCUCUAGGUUUGUUGCUAAUCUUUCUGCACCUACACAAUCUUGCUAUUCGCACCUCCCUCUGCUUAAAUCAAUAAAGCACUACUCAGCUCACUAACUACAUCUCUUUUCUACCCAAUUUUACUAAUCCACCUUUAUACGCACUCUACUUUCUUAUUCUAUCUAAAAACUCUAUUUUCUUCUUAAAUAUUAUUUUCUCUCACUCUUUAACCGACUAACCAACACAUCUACAUGCUCCUUACCUAUUCUUCCAAUAAAUACAAAUAUUUAAAUUAAUACUACCUAACAACCAAUACUAAUAAUAGCAAUAAUACUAAUAUUAUCUAAUAAUAAUAUUAAUAAACUAAUAUUAAAAAUCGGGCUGUUACAAAAGGUGCUAAGAGUGAAACUGUUGUUCAGUCAGUACCUGAAGCUACUAGCUCUGAGGCUAAGAUAACUUCAAAGCCAAAGAACUCUAAGUCAAAGGCAAUGAUAACUUCUGAUUCUAAGACUUCAAAGAUUAAGAUUCUGAAGAGAUCAGAACUUGUUCCUCAGAGUCUGAUGAAGUCAGAAGCUGGUAUCUUAAAGUCUAAGUCCUAGAGGAAGAAAACAUUUGUUGCUACUUGGGACUCAGAACCUAGAGGUAUUAAACCUAAAGCAAUGAGUAACCAGAAGCAAUUAAACUCACAGCACAAGGUACAAGAAGUGAUGAGUAAAACUUACAGUACUAACCUGAAAGGACCCAUAAGACAAUGGGUACCUAAAUCUGAAAACGUCAAUAUUGCAGAUAUGUCUAAGAGCAAAAGUAAAGCAAAAAUCAUGGUACCUAGACAGCGGUUGCUCAAGGCAUAUGACAGGAGAGAAGUCUAUGUUCCUCACCCUUACAAUGAAAGAAGGAGGAAAUGUGAAGUUUGGAGGCAGCCAACCUGGCGUGAUUAUUGGUACAGGAACUAUUGGUAACUCCUCUAUCUUAAUUAAUAAUGUGUGGCUGGUAGAUGGUCUUGAACAUAACCUUUUAAUUAUUAGUCAAUUUUGUGAUAAUGAUUAUGAUGUGAUGUUUGGUAAGACCAGCUGUACGGUAAUCAAAAAGGAUGAAAAAUCCAUAAUAUUCAAGGGAAAGAGAGUAGUGAAUGUCUAUAAAAUUAACUUUUAUGAACUGGUUGAUCAGAAGGUAAUUUGCCUUCCUUCAGUGAAUGAUAAGUAAUGGAUGUGGCACAUAAGGUUAGGACAUGCUAAUUGAAGAUUAAUCUCUAAGCUUAGUAAGUUACAACUAGUUAAAGGCUUACCUGACAUUGAUUAUCAUUCAGAUGCACUUUGUGGUGCAUGCUAGAAAGGGAAGAUUUUGAAAUCAUCUUUUAAAACAAAAGACAUUGUCUCAACCUCCAGACCCUUAGAAUUACUUCAUAUUGAUUUAUUUGGACUAGUUAACACUGCAUCCUUAUAUGGAAGUAACUAUGGAUUGGUCAUUGUUGAUGAUUAUAGCAGAUGGACUUGACUAAAAUUCCUAAGAAGUAAGGAUAAUGCAUAUGAUGUAUUCAGUAGAUUCUAAUCUUAAAAAGAAAUGAAAAUUUUAAAAGUCAGAAGUGAUCAUGGUGGUGAAUUUGAAAAUGAGCCAUUUGAACUUUUUUGUGAAAAACAUGGAAUUGUCCAUGAAUUCUCUUCUCCUAGAACUCCACAACAAAAUGGGGUUGUAGAGAGAAAUAGAACUUUACAAGAAAUGGCUAGAACCAUGAUUCAUGAAAACAAUUUGGCUAAACAUUUCUGGGCAGAAGCAGUGAAUACAGCAUGUUAUGCAUAAAAUAAAAUCUACAUCAGACCUAUCUUAGAGAAAACAACAUAUGAACUCUUUAAAGGAAGAAGACUCAAUAUCUCUUACCUUCAUAAAUUUGGAUGUACCUAUUACAUUCUAAAUAACAAGCUCUACCUAAAGAAAUUUGAUGCCAAGGCCCAAAGAGGAAUCUUUUUAGGUUACUCUGAAAGGUCAAAGGCAUACAGAGUGUAUAAUUCAGAUACACUUUGUGUUGAAGAAUCAAUGCACGUAAAAUUUGAUGACAAAGAGCCUGGAAGUGAAACUCUAAAGCAAGAUGAAAGUUUUGCAGAUAUACAGGUCACUGAAGACAUUUCAGAACCUGAUAAGAAAGCUGAAUCUGAAGAAAGUCCAGAAGCUCAACCCACUCUAGAAGUUGAACCAACCUUAGAAGCACAAUAUGAAAAUGCUUCUGAAGAAACUCAAGAUGACUCUCAGCAAGUAGUUCAAUCCAAAAAUACAUUCAAGCACAAGUCUUCACAUCCUAAGGAUUUAAUCAUUGGAAAUAAAGAUAGUCCUAGAAGAACAAAAUCAUACUUCAGACAAGAAGAAUCUAUGAUAGGAUUAUUAUCAGUGAUUGAACCUGCCACAGUUGAUAAAGCACUUUCAGAUGAUGGAUGGAUAUUAGCUAUGCAAGAAAAACUAAAUCAGUUUCAAAGAAAUGAUGUGUGGGAUCUGGUACCCAAACCUCAGUAGAAGAACAUUAUUUGAACAAAAUAGGUAUUCAAAAACAAGUUGAAUGAACAAGGUGAAGUAACCAGAAACAAAGCCAGAAUUGUUGAACAAGGUUACAGUCAACAAGAAGGCAUUGACUACACUGAAACAUUUGCUCCAGUCGCAAGAUUGGAAGCAAUUAGGUUACUUCUAUCUUAUGCAGUAAAUCAUGACAUAAUAUUAUAUCAAAUGGAUGUCAAGAGUGCAUUUCUUAAUGGAGUCAUUGAAGAAGAAAUGUAUGUCAAGCUGGAAGAUUAUAAAGUGAUGAACACUCUAAUGCAUCCAACUAGCACCUUAAGCAAAGAAGAUACUGGAACAAAGGUAGACCAAAAGCUGUAUGGAUGUAUGAUUGGUUCCUUGUUAUACAUCACUGCAUCUAGACCAGAUAUUUUAUUCAGUGUAUGCUUGUGUGCAAGAUUUCAGUCAGAUCCAAGAAAAUCUCAUUUAACUGCUGUUAACAGAAUUUUCAGGUAUUUGAAGGGAACAACUAAUCUUAGACUCCUCUAGGAAAUCCCUAGAUUAUCAGUUGGUUGAAUUUUGUGAUGCUGAUUAUACUGGUGACAGGAUUGAAAGAAAAUAAACCAGUGGAAACUGCCAUUUCCUUGGAGAGAAUUUAAUAUCCUGGACUAGCAAAAGACAAGCAACUAUUGUUAUGUCUACAACAGAAGUAGAAUACAUCUCACCUGCAAGUUGUUGUACACAACUACUUUGGAUGAAACAUCAGUUGGAGGACUAUCUGAUAAAUGCUAACAGUAUUAUGUUCAAAAAGAAAUUUUAGAUAUACAAUUUAUUGAUACUGAACAUCAAUGGACGGAUAUAUUUACUAAGUCUUUAAAUGUUGAAAGAUUUGAUUUUAUAAAGAAAAAUUUGAACAUGCAUUUUGUGUCUGAUUAAAUUUGCUUGCUGUUGAACAAGAAGUUUGGUUCUGAGGUCUGUUCAGAAGCUUUACACGUACAAUAUAGUGUAUACCUUAUAUUGAGAGAGAGAGAGAGAGAGAGAGAGAGAGAGGAGAGAGAGAGAGAGAGAGAGAAGGAGAUGGUUGGGCGAUAUAGGAAGAGAAUGAAAUGGUUUGGUAAUCGGAAGAGAUGGUUGAUCACAAGCGAGUGAGAAAGGAACGAUAACGGUUCUUCUUUCUUUUUUGAGGAAAAUUGUUUUGUAACAGUAGAAAUCUAUUUUUUCUUUUAGAAAUAGGAGCCAAAUUCUUGAAAUUUUGGGAUUGGCGGAAAUGUUUGUAGCCAAAAAUUAUAAAGAAAUAGAUUUUUGUUAUUUUGAAUAAUAAAUAAUGUAAUAAAUGUAUCAUACAGAAGGUUAGACCGUGGGUAAUUAUUGACGACAAAAAGCCGUCUAUAAUUAUUGAUGGCUAAGCCGUGGGUAGCAAUUUCAAAAAAUUCACAUUGAACUUUUACAUGCCUUGGGUAAUCCAUCACUACUCUAAAAAAUUAACCACGGUCUUACGGCCGCGAGUAAUUGUUCGUGGGUAAUGACAGAUUUUUUUCUUGUAGUGAGGGAUGAUAAGAAACAAAACCAAAGCCAUAUGCAGAGGACAGAAGAGUUUCCACAUUAUUACGGCCAGCCAUGGUACAGUUUGAACAGAUUGAAUUGAGUUUAAAAAAAGAAGAGUGAAGCACCAAAGGAGGUAAUAGUGCAUGUCUUUACAUCGAGUGAAUUAGGUUGGAUGAAUUUGCCAACAGGCGUGGGAAAUAGAGGCUGUUCUGGUUUUCCAGAUGGAAGUCCAAAGGCAACAAAAUAAAUUUAUGAUUCCUCACUGUGACAAAGUAACAGGUUUGGGGCACUGUAACAGAGGAUAUUAUUUUAUUACACAUCAUAGAUCGGAAAUAACAACAGUAACAAAAAGUAAAAGGAUAUCAUCACCCCCUACCCUAUCCAAGACAAAAAUACCUAACCAAAUUGUCCAAAAUUCCUCACCUUGGCCAGUGUUUCUCCAGCAUUUUGAAUGGUAAACUGCAGAGUAAGACUCAAGUCACGGAUGGAAGAAAACACAAACUCAACACUAGAAGAAAUAUGUAUUACUUAAAAAUGACCGAUUUAUCCAAAACAUGGAAGGGGAAGUCUAUGAUAGCCUCAUCCUAAGCUUUUACAAAGGAAUCAAGAAGCAUUCAUUUGAUAAUAGACACCUUGCACCACUGUAAGGAAGACGAUAUCGUUGGGGGAGUAUACAUCAUAAGUCAAAAAUAAAAACGUAGACAACAAACAUACAAGAAUAUUAUCUUUCCCACGUCCAUCAGUCCCUAUCGAACAUACCAUCAAAACAAACAGCACCUGAUCAAGAUGUCCAUCCUAGGAAGGGAAGAGUUGCUCCAGAAUGUAGUAUGCUAAACCACUGGGUAAGACUCAAGUUACCCAUAAAGAAACACAAAAACUUCAACACUAUUAUAAACGAAAGGGAAGUACGUUAUAACAAAAAGAACUAAGAGAGAAAGAAAAGUAGCCUGAUUCCUCUAAUCAAGUUGAAGAUCAACAGCAUAACAAAGAGAGGCCCCAACAAGCUAUCCCAACUUCACUAGAAUCAUAAACUUUUGCACUGUCGCAUAUCUAAAACCCAAUGUACCAGAUGAGAAUGUACAGAAAAAUUAUGUUGUGACAAAUAGUCUGUAGGAAAAAGAACUGAGAGAGAAAGAAUAGGAGCUUUAUUAUUCAAACCAAGUCACAGAUCGGAAUAAUAAUGAAGCCCAGCAAGCUGUCCCAACUUCACGAGAAUCAUGUAAGCUUUUGCACUGUCAGAUUCAGAUCAAAAACCAAAUGUCGAUGGUAAGAACUUCACAAUUGUACAUCAAUAAAACUCGGAAGGAAAAAAAUGAACCCAACAAAGUUCGCAAUCCAAGUAGAGCAUUCCCAAAUAAACACGAGGCUUGAUACUAAACAGAAUGUUAUGGUUUCAGAACACAAUAGCAUCAUCUUUCAAUUUACAUGUAAAAACAGUCAGAACCAAAUCAAACCUUUGAAUCAAGAAAUCAGAAAAGUACCAUACAAUACAUGAAGACAAAAAAGGGAGAGAUAACACCAGAAAGAAUCACUUCUUCCUAAUUUACCUUACAUGCAACACGGGAAAAUAAAAAGUCAAGAAAAGUAUGCUUUCAAAAGAUUUGAGAAUUAUUGAAAACCAGAAGAAUUUAGAAGAGAUGACCAAAUCAAAACUCAAGGCUUCAUGCUAUGAAGAAAGAACAUAGUACUUCUACAAACCACUCUGCAGAAAAACAGGUGCACAAUUUUUAUAUGCUUCAUACUCACUGCUGGUACAGAACCACAAAAACUCCGACACUUGCAAGAUUAGUACAGAGAACAGAAGCACUAAUCAUCACAAAUUUCUACCUAAGUUCUUAUCGCAAAAUUAAUCCUAGCAGACAGUCGAAAAUGUAUAUCAAAAUUUAAUUAGUUUGCAGAAGAUAUGUGAUUAAUACAAACCGAUUUCUCCAUUUCAGACGGAAAAAUUAACAAAGUGCAGAGUGAUCGGAGACAUCUGUUGUACAACAAACCAAUGUAAAACAUAGCCUGUGAAAACAGAUGAUUCAUGUACAGAAAACCCACGACAUGACAAACAGUUGUAGAGGAAACCAACAAAAAGAAGGAAGAUAGUUUAAUUUACCAGAAACGUGUGAACUUUGCAUUGUCAGAUUACAUGUCAAAAACCUAAAAUGUAAGAUAACAGCAGUAUGAAGGGAUAAGAAUACUUACGGCUAGACUAUUCACAUAAAGGAAUAAAUCGAGAAGACAAUUUGUAUGCUUGAUCAGGUCACCACGAAACAGAAAUAAACCUAUACACUUAAUAAUACACAAAAUGUGGUUGUUUUAAGAUACAUUACAUUGCAAAAAACAGGUUUUAAUUCACAAUUCCACCAGGGAUGAUUAUCAUGUAUCAAGUUUUACAAAACAUUACCUUUUCCUGAGACUCAAUUGGAAACAUACAAAACAGAAAAUUCAUAUCAGAACGCAAGCUAUGUUUCCAAGUUCCACAAAAUAUUACUGUUACCUACUACUCAAAUAGCAAUACCUUAAACACAAAACAACAUCUGUUGUAACAGAGGAAUAAUAAUAUUUAUUGUAACAGAGGAAUUAGAGAACAACCAAUUGGAACCGAAACAAACUUCAUCAAAAUAAGAACUGCAAACGUCAAGAUACCUAAUAAUCAACCAGAAAGAAUAAGAAAUUGUAUGUUCACAAAUUAUUGCUCCUGCAACACCAAAGAGUAACGAAUCAAGAAAUAUUCACUCUGAGUAGUUAAAGAAAUAUUGAAAACAAAAUGAUUAUAAUAAAUAUCACCAAAUAAAAACGCUAGACUCAAUGCUGCGAAGAAAGUUAUUAGCUUGACAGACCAUGCUGCAAAAAAAACAUGUUCAAAAUUCAAUUUGUAUAACUUGCAAUCACAGGCCAUAAAUUAAAUUAAUAAAGGACUCAUUGAAGAAAAAUCAUUUAUCUAUCAGAUGUCGUUCCCCGUUAUUGUCCGUUGAAUCAAAUGUUCAAGAUAUCAAGACUUCCCUGCUCGCAGUACAACGGAUAAACAGAUCUUCGGUUAUCAAAUAAAGAAUUACAUUGAAAAAUAACACAAAGAUUGAAUAGAUGAAUUUUCUAGAGAUCACCAGGAAAAUACUCAAGGCUCCAUACUCUGAAGUAGGUGAUUAUUUAGACAAACCAGGCUGCAGAAAAAGCAUGUUCACAGUUCAAAUCUUUUCAUGAUCAAAAGCUUAAAUUGGAAACCAUGUAGAAUGAAUCAUUGAAGAAAUUCGAUUUAUCUAUGUGAAGCAAUUCCCCGUUCAUAUCUGUUGUGUCAAGAAUCGAAAAUGUUGUAGUUUUUCAAAUUUCCGCUUUCUGCAAAAUGGUUAAACGCAUAUCUCAAUUAUCUAAUUAUGAAGAAGUAAAACCAAUAGUUGGAAAAUAAACAUAUAAUUAUUGAAAAAAAACGAUCCAUAAAUGAAGAGUAGAGAGAACUGUGAAAUUCAAAACCAAUAGUUGGAAAAUAAACAAAUAAUUAUUGAAAAAAACAAUCCAUAAAUGAAGAGUAGAGAGAACUGUGAAAUUCAUGAUAUCUACAAUCCAAAAAAGCAUAUCAAACGCCAAUCCAUAAAGAUCUCCUUGAUAGAUGAAGAAACAAUUAUAUAUAAAAAUUUAAGAAAAAAAAUCUUCAUAACCAAACGAAUGAACAUGUUCACAUAUCAAUUUUUAUGUCCUUGGAAUCAAAGCAAAGAAAUAAAAAUACUAAAGAAUGAAUCAUUGAAGAAAUUUGAUUUAUCUAUCUGGAGCCGUUCUAUGGUCUUAUCCGUUGUAUCAAGAAUCUCAAAAUGUUCACCUCGCUGCAAAACGAAUGAACAUGUAGCUGCAGAAGAAAGCAUGUCCACCGUUCAAUUCUUCUCUUUUCAUAAUCAAAUGCUUGAAAUUGAAAACAAUAAAAAAUGCAUCAUUGAAGAAAUUCAAUUUAUCAAUGUGAAGUCGUUCUCCGAUUGUACCCGUUGUGUCAAGAAUCGCAAAAUGUUCUAGUUUUUCAAAAUUCCACUUGCUGCAAAAUGGUUAAAAACGUAUCUCGAGUAUCUAAUUAUGAAGAUCUCGAUUAUCUAGUCACGAAGAACAACCAAUAGUUCGAAAAUAUACAUAGAAUUCUUUAAAAAAGAUACAUAAAGGAGGAGUAGAGAGAACCGUGAAAUCCUUGAUAUCUACAAUCCAAAAAAGCAGAUAUCAAAACACCACUCCAUAAAGAUCUCCUUGAUAGAAGCAAAUCAAAAAUUAUAGGUUCAAAAUUCAAUUUGUAUGCCUUCCAAUCAAUGCUCAUAAAUUAUAAUAAUAAAGGCCUCAUCGAAGAAAUUAAUUUAACUAUCCGGAACUGCUCUACAUUCUUAACCGCUGAAUCAAGACAUUCUACUUCCCAGCUCACUGUUACUACAGAUAAAUGGAUCUUUCAAUUAUGAAACAAAGAAUUAUAGUGCAAAAUAACACAAAUGAUUCUUUAUAACCAACGUAAAAAAAAGAUUCUGGAAAAGUAUGAUAGUAUGAAAUAUAUGCUUCUCAUAUGGAAAUAUUGAAAGAAAAGAUUUUACCAGCAAUAACCAUAUCAAUACUCGAGGCUGCAGAAAAACAAUGGGAGGUUAUUAUUUUGACAAACCAGGCUGUAGAAAAACCACGUUCACAGUUCAAUUCGUGUCUUAAUGCUCAAAAUUGAAAAUAAUAACUAAUAAUUCAAUUUAUAUCUGAAGCCAUUCUCCGUUCGUAUAUGUUGUGUCACCAAUCACAAAACGAUCUGGAUUACCAGACUUCAGCUCGCUGCAAAACGGAUAAACGCAUAUCUCGAUUAUCCAAUUAUGAAGAACCUAUCCAAUAAUCCCAAAAUAAACAAAUAAUUCUCGUAAAACCUAUCCAUGAAAGGAAGAGUUGGGAGAACUGUGACAUUCCUGAUAAUUGAUAUCUACAAUCCGAAAAGAGUAUAUCAAAAUACAAAUCUGUAAUGAACUCCUUCAUAGCAGCAGAUCAAAGACCCUAGAAUCUUGUAUGCUUCAUACUCACGUUCCUGAUACAAAAACUUAAAAACUGCAACUCUAGAGCACAAAUACCGAUGUAAAGAAAAAAUGACCAGUUUUAUUUAUCCCAAGGCUGAACGGAAAGUAAGUGAACCUCUCCGCACAUGCUACACAGUUAGAGGAUUACGCCCCCUGCAACACCCACACAGAAAACUCAAAGGAACCGACAAAAGUGAAUGCUGAUUAUGAAACAAAGAUUGAAAUUAAAGAGAUAACCAAAUUAUAACCUAGCAACAGUAGAUAGUAUAUGACAGCCUGCAGGAAAUGAUGAUUCAUUGUAACAAAUUUCCAUCCAAUUUUCAAGAUCGUCAUGUAACCAUUGAAGAGACAAUAAAAUAUUGAAACAAUAAAAGAAAACUAAAGAAAGACUCUCCCAUCAAAGUUAAGUCGUCCCUAACAAUACGAGAAACACAAAAACUUGAACACAGGAAAAAAAACAUAAAAUCAUCAACACCAGCUUGUACACAAUUAGGACAACAAUUCAGAACAAAAACAUAUACGUAUGUAAAAGAUGACCAAAUGAAUGAGAAAGUCCGUGUUAAUCAAAUCCAACCUUGCAAGACGAGUCGAGAAGCACGAAAGCAUAAAUGUUCACAUUAAAUUUAGAUCGCCAAAUUAAGCCUCAAAGAUUGAAAAUUUAACUUGUUGAUUCAUGUAAUUAGUUGACAGAAGAUAAAUAGUACAAAGCAGAAACACUCAUCUCCAAUUACUCAACUUCAGACAGCAAAAUGAAUAAGGUACAGUGUAAUAAAAAAGGAGACGUCUGUUGAACACUUGCUCUGUAACACCACAAAGUCGUCUCAAUCUCUCCAAAGUGUAACCACUACUUCGCCACAUUACAUGUCAAAAAUGUAAAUGUAAGAAAUGGUAGUUUGAAGGAAUAGGGUGACAAUGUAAAAAAAACCAAGAAAAGAAAACGAAUAUUACCAUAAUUCUCCAAACCGAACCUAAAUAGAAGAAAACGUAUGAUAGGGUAAUAAAAAGGAGACUUCUGUGGUACACCAAACCAUGUAACAAUUACCUAGUGAACACCAAAUGACAGUGGUAUUAAUGAGAUGAAUACAAUUCAUAACCUGAUUGCUAGAUGCUACACACAUGCUGCACUGAACAGUAAAUGUUUCAAUUCACAAUUCAGUCCGAUAAUCAUGUAGUUUCACAAAACAUUACUACCAUCAUCUGCAAUCAGCAAAGUGUAUACAUCAGAACUCGAGGCUUCAUGCUAUGAAAAUGUUAUUAAUUACACCUUACGCCUCUUUCGUGAUAUUACUCGAGGCUUCAGUGAAAAGUAGACAGAGAGAAUGCAAAGGAAGACGAAGGGAGGAUAAAAGAAAAGUGGGAGACAAUGGAUAAUAGUGUAAAAUUCAUAUAUUUUUGUCAAUUCAAGUGUAACUCGAGGUGUAACAAGAAAAAAUCAAACAUCAUAAUUUCUUUUGCUAGUUUUAAUUAUUCAAAUAAAAAAUACAAAGAUAUAAUUAUAGAAGUUCAAACCUUACUGAAGUUUUUAAUAUCAUGAGUAUUUCCAAUAAAAAAAUAUCAAAGAAAAUCAAAAAGUGAUCAAACGCUGUUAAUUCAAAAAGUUAUUUUAUAUAUAAAUAUAUAAAUAUAUAAAUAUAUAAAUAUAUAUAUAUAUAUAUAUAUAAAUAUAUGUAAUAUUUUACACUACACUGUUGCAUGGUGAACAUCAUCUCAACUGUUAUUGCUCACUAAAAAAUUAUCAACAUGAUCUGAUACACUUGCUAGAUCGAAUGGUGUUAAUUCAAAAAGAGAAAUGAAAAUAACAAAAUUGUUCAUUAGUACAUCAUAAACAUAAAACAGCAUUUUCUUAUAGUUACUUCCCUUAUCAUAUUUUAAUUUUGUACUCUAGUUAACACUGCUAGGUCAAACAAUCAAAAGAUAACUUUCAAAAUACAUAUACAUAUACAUAUACUUCCAAAAUACAUAUACAUAUACAUAUAUACUGUCAAAAGACAACUUUCACAACACAUGAAGAAUUCCUAAGCUAGAAGCAGGCCUAACUAAUGCACCAAGGAGAAACAAUAGACUCUGCACACUUGGUUACGCAAAGAGCUAUAUUCCAUUAUUGUGGUUGUAACACACCAUUAAUAGUAAGAAAAUUGCCUGUUUUGUCCAAAGGCUGAAUGGAGGGUCUAUCAUGAUAUUCAACACAUGCAUUUCACAUUUCACAAUCCACCUACAUUUGCAACGACUGAGAUAAAAUACAAAGAACCAAUCCAAGCAGAAAGCACAAAGGAUGUAUAACCAAGUAGAAAUCACCUUGAAGCCGGUGCACUCAGAAAUAUCCACUUAGGAGAACCAAUUUAUUCAUAUGCACAUCAUCAAAUAACAAAGGCUAUAGAAAAGCUCCGCGAUUAAAAACCGCCAUUAGGACAAUAAGAGACCACCCAAGCUGUCCAAAACAGAUUACAGAUACAGGCAGGUCAAACCAUAAGGGAAUAUCUACUCCACUGACAAAGCUACAAAUUUGGGACAGAAGAUUCGUAUUCUUAUAUAACUAGAAAAGACGGCAGACUACCAACCAGAACAUAACACCAACCAAGCUGUCUAGAAUUUCAUAUCCUCAUCGCGGGCAAAAUCAUAUCCUUGUAUGCUUCAGUAUUCACGCUCCUGAUGGCAAAACACAUAUAUCCAAUACUAGCACGAGACAUUUUAAAGGAAAAUUAUCCCUAACACUGUAACAUAACUGAUCGUAUCACACGGCUGAAUGGAUAGUAUGUUAACCUCCGGUUUCCACAGGUCACUGCACACCACAUUUCAUAGUCCGUCUCCCCUGUAACACCCACACAAUCCAAAAGAACUGAAAAAAGAUACUAAGUAUCAGACAAAGACUAAAAUGUCGACUUUUAUUGCUAUACAUGUAAAUUUGAAAGGUGAUGCUGUUUUUUUUUUUUUUUUUGCAGUAUGGCAAUAAAAGUCAGAACCAAAUCAAACCUUGGAUUAAAAAAAAUCAGUAAAGAACUAGCGUACAAAACAUGAAGGCCAAAAAAAGAAAGAUAACACCAAAAAGAAUAAAAAAUAAUCAAAACAAAGAGAAACAAAACCAGAAGGAAUCACUUGUUCUUAAAUUACCUUCCCUGCAACACGGGAAAAUAAAAAAUCAAGAAAAACAUGCUUCCAAAAAUAUUGAAACCAGAAGAUUUUGGAAGAGAUCACCAAAUCAAAACUCGAGGGUUUUAUGCUACGAAGAAAGAACAUAUUUGUUUUACAAACCACGCUGCAGAAAAACACAAUUCAAUUCUAGUGUUUUGCAAACAAAUCCUAAAAAUAAAAAUAAUAAUGAACCAAAACUGAAGAAUUCUAUAUUUUGCAAUCAAAUCCUGAAAAUAAAAAUAAUAAAAAACAACAGGAUAGCUCGAAACAAAAUCAUGCAAAAUAACCAGACAAGAAUCAGAAUGACAAUUAACUAACAAUUCAUUAUUUGUGAUGAUCAUUAAAAUAAGUACAGCAACCACUAAGACCAACACCAGCAAGAACUAAAUCAAACCACAACAUCAAGAGACAAAACUAACCAGAAGGAAUACUCAACAUUAAUAGAUCACCUCUCUUGGAGCACCAAAAAGGAAAAUAAGAAAUCAAGAAAUAUGUACUCUCACAAUCCAAUCUGCAGCAUGUCUUAAGAACAAAGCCCAAAACUUAAAAAGUAAAGGAACGACUUUGAUAUAUCUGGACUAGUGUAUCUCCAAACGUUGUAGAUAUCCAAACUUUAGCCCUCUGCAAAACAGAAGUGUAUCUCUUGAUUAUCCAAGAAAGAUGGACAGAAUCAUAAAUAUUGUUGAAGCUCUCCUAAUAUUUAGUUUAAUAAUUCUAAACAAUGACACAUUACAAUGCCAAAGGACACCUAUUUUCCAGAAUAAGUACAUUCAAGGCAAGAAAAUGAACCGUAAAAUCCAAGGGUCUGCAUGUUCGUAAUAUUAAGGUUAGCUGCAGCUUUAAAAUCA